rnacentral:lncRNA from 1 species
CUUUAAAAAUGACCUCAAAUUUUUUUUUUUUUUAAGUAAAGAAAGCAAUCAUAACCCACUUUACAAGCGUUGUUUCUAACUCAAACAAUAGUUUUCAAUAUUAAUCAUCUUUGUUAAAUAAAAUAACUUAAUUACUUAUAAGUAUAUACAAUGUUUCUAUUUUUCCAACGUGCAAAUUAAGACUCUCAAAUCAAAUUUUAAUCCUCCUUUGUCUCCUGUCCUCAAACCAAAUUUUCCUUCAAGUUUGAAACCGAAUUGUUUUGUUAUUUUGUAACGCCUAUUUCCUUUCCUCGUGAGAAAAAAGUAAGGCAAGACCUGUGUCUGAGUUAGACUCGUAAGCAACAAACUCUUCUCCCUCUCGCACUCUCGUCUUCUCCUUCUUUCCUCAGGUGGCGUUUGGGUGGUCGAUCAGAUCAUGUUCGAAACGCCGGCAGUUCAUUGGUUGAAGAAUCAAAGCUCCCACUAAUUCCCAAACAAAAAAUUUAGAAACUUUGUAAUCUUGUUACCUACUUGGUAUGAAGUAUUUCACCCUAAUUGUAUCCGUACUUGUUAUUCCACUACUCACCGUCCAUGCAGCAAAUAGCUGCAACCAAGCGUGCCCGGGUUACAGGCCCAGCCCGAUUCAGUACCCUUUCGGGUUCUCAUCGGGCUGCGAAAUCCGGCUUAACUGCAUUCCAAACGGCGGAAUCGCAAUCGGGGAGUUUCCAAUCCAGUCCAUAAACCAUGACAGCAUAAGAAUCAACCUCAAGAGCCAUUGCAACCGCCCCCUCCACACCCUCCGCAACUUCUACAGCCGGAAAUACGCCCCGACGUCACGAAACGCGAUUCUUCUUCAGAACUGUACGGAAGGGACGGCGUCGGGCAGCUGCGAGAUUCCCAACCUUCUGGUGCAGGCGCGGUUUGACGCGCCGCCCAAUUGCAGCUCCAACAGCAGCCUCAGCUGCUACGCCGAGACUAGAAAGGAUGUCCCAUUUUUGGACUUUGGAAGCGUCGAGAGGAAGGAUUGCAAGUUCUUGCUGUCGUCGAUUUCGGCGCCGCCGCAACUUUUGAAUAGCUCGACGCCGGCGGCGCCGGUGAUGCUGGAGGUGGAAGUGUUGGAUUUGGGGUGGUGGCUUGAGGGUACUUGUGGGUGUGACAAGAACGCCAAUUGUACGACCGUCGUAUCGCCAAAUGGGACUGAAGGAUAUAGAUGCAACUGUAAGGAGGGGUUUCUUGGAGAUGGAUACGUUGCUGGGUCAGGCUGCUGGAAAGGUAAUUACUGAUUAAUUACUGAUUGAUUACUUCGUAAUUACUUAUUAACUCUUAUUCUUCCUCCUCUUGCUUAUUUGAUCUUUUUUUUUUCAACUAUGAAGUUGGUCUAUGAUUUUUAUAGUACUCUUUCACUCUUCAUGCACACCCAAGUUCAUUUUUUACAUUUGAAUCGACUAAAACAAUGAAAAAUCAACGAAUAAAAAUAAAUAGUUCAUUCAUAGAAAAAAAUUAACUUGCGGAAAUCAUUUUGUAUGAGCUUAUACCCUUCAUCCUAUUUACCUCUCAAUUUUUAAAUUGAUUUUGUGCCCUUCUAUUUGUCAAAUUUUUCUUAAUUUUCCAUAAAUAUGAAUCCUAAAUGAACGAAAAUAACCUUCAAUUUGACAAAAAAAAUUUACAACAGAGAAUAAAUUGACACAUUUUAGAACUUCAGAAAUUCAAAACCAAAUUGAAAGUCAAAAAAGCACAUCGAAUGAAGGCCAUAAUUUCAUGGUGCAUUGCUAAAAAGUUUCUAAAAAAUAAAAACACAAGAUUAAGGAUAACCAAUUAAAACAAUCCAAGGCAUGCUUAGGGUCCUACCUAAUAUUGUUUGACUCAUAUUUUUGGGAUUACAGUCAUAGGCCACCCUGAUACAAAAAGUCUACGAUCUUAGAUACAAAUUUACUUUCGAUAGAUAUCAUUAGGUUCGGUAGGAGACUAAGAACAACUCACCACCAAACAAGCAUAGCAAUUAUUUCAUUACAUUUUUGUGUGCACUAUUAUGGAUUUGUUACAAUAUUUUAUUUGCUUAUUUAGCAGCCGUAUUAGACUAUAUACGGUCUUUUUAUUUAUAAUAUAUAAUAUAUUACACUAAAAGGUGAAGAUUUUGGUUAGUCACACGAUAAACCAACUCUUAAAUUUUGUAUCGAAUUUUUCAUUGAUGAAAGUCGAACUUAAAACAUCUUACUUAUAAAUAAAUAAAAAAUAUUACUGAACUGUUUUGCUAUGUAACGCAUGAGAAAAAUUGAAUAUUUAACGAAAUAGGACCGUUGGUAGGGCCCAUUGAAAAUGCACUUGCGAUUCAUAACAUUAUGCCUAUUGCCUACUCAAUUUGUGGGACUGGUCCAUCAUGUUGGGGUCAACUUAAUCCAAUCAGAUUAGCUCAAGGGAAGAAAUUUACUUUUCAGUGUUAUCUACACAUUCAUUUUCAAUUUUUAUAAAUUUAGUGUUAUUUAAUUUUUUUUUCCAACUCAUUUGAUCCGACGGCUAAAAAUUAUGAGAGGUGUGUGAGUUGUUUGUGGAUAGCACCACUUUUUUCCCCACCUUUCUCUUGUUUUUUUAGUUUUUUUCGUUUUUGGCUUGUGUAAGAAAAAGAUAUAAGAUGACCCCGGAGGUAGAUUGUCUGCCCUCCCAUUUCCAUACUAUUUCCAUCUUCUCUUGUUUGUGUGGUCACAGUUAAGCUACGUAAACAUUUUAAAUUGAUUUUUUUUAUAAAAAUAAUAGGAAUAUAAAAUGUUGACGUGGCUUAACCGUAAUCACACAAAAUAUGAGGAGACGGGAAGAGUAUGGAAAUGGGAGGGCAGACAAUCCAACUCAGAUGACCCCAUAGGUCUCCCUCAGGAUGGGUUUGUUUCACCUAAUACAGUGCGUUGGAUGGACUUUUAUCAUAUUUUAGUGAUUGCGUAGAGAAGUUUUGAUUCUGUAACCUAUAUCUUCAAGAAUUGCAAUGACCUUAAUUAGUAGGAAAAUAUAACACUAAAGACCCUCAUAGGGCCACGAAGGCGUCUAGCUCGAGAGAGAUUUACCUAUAUUUUAGGAUUUUACGGCAGCAUUUAAGUUUUCCGACAAACUCAGAGUUGGUAAGCUUAAAAUGAUGUUCAUUUUUUGUGUGGAAAAAGAAAGAUCAAGUCAUCGGCCUGUAUAAUAAAACAUGAAUUAAUAUACUAUAUGGCACUGACAAUAAAUUAGUAAUACUACAUGUCAUUGACGAUUAGAGCGCUGUUUUUCUUUUUUUCUAAAAUACACAGGGCAAUCCUAAUUUGAUCAAAAGACCCAACAGAUUCAUUUUCAUUUUUUAUCCUAAAUUGUUCAAUCUCUUAGGUAAUUUGGGAAAACUUCUAUGCUCAUUGUAUAUCUCUAAACUUGUCUGGCAGAUAAUAUAACUGACUAACACCAGAGUAAUCCUUAUAAUUUAACAAAUGCAAGGCUUAAUUAUGUGACUUGUGCUCUGUAAAUUUACAGUCUCAUCGACUUGCAACCCUGCGAAAUACUUGUCUGGCCAAUGUGGAGGAAAGUCCAGGUUCAUCCUUUUGAUUGGAGGUAACUAAUUAACUCCUCUUUUAACUACUUAAUCCGUUUUUUUUUUAAACAACGAUAUUUUACUCUAAGGGGAAACAUAUAUUCGUUCUUAAUAUGAAAAAAAUUUCCUUUCUCAGCCGUUUUUGUUGGAGCUUCAUUGAUGAUCAGUGUGGCUCUGCUAUGCUGCUUCAUUCGGCGACGAUCCAAGCUGAAAGCGAGACACAGCACGAAACGCCUUCUAUCCGCAGCUACAGGCAACUGCAACAUUCCCUUCUACUCCUACAAAGAAAUCGAAAAGGCCACAAAUAGCUUCUCCGACAAGCAAAGGCUGGGGAACGGAGCCUAUGGAACUGUUUAUGCUGGUAAACUCCAUGACGAAUGGGUUGCCAUAAAGAGAAUCAAACACAGAGGACACGAAAGCAUGGACCAAGUCAUGAACGAGAUCAAGCUCAUUUCAUCUGUAAGGCACCCGAAUUUAGUCCAGUUAUUAGGUUGCUCCAUUGAACACGGUGAGCAGAUUCUUGUGUACGAGUUCAUGGAAAAUGGGACAUUGUGUCAGCAUUUGCAAAGAGAGAGAGGGGAAGGGCUUUCUUGGCUCUCACGCCUGAACAUUGCCGCUGAAACUGCUCAAGCAAUAUCCCAUCUUCACUCCGCUUCUAACCCUCCGAUAUAUCACAGAGACAUCAAGUCGAGCAACAUUCUUUUGGACUGCAAGUUCAGAUCCAAAGUAGCGGAUUUUGGCCUUUCAAGGCUAGGGAUGGUGGAAACCUCCCACAUUUCAACGGCUCCGCAGGGGACUCCGGGUUAUCUUGACCCUCAAUACCAUCAGAACUUCCAUCUCUCCGAUAAAAGCGAUGUCUAUAGCUUUGGUGUGGUGCUUGCUGAGAUCAUAUCAGGGUUGAAAGCUGUAGAUUUUAACCGCCCACCGGAUGAAGUAAACUUGGCAGCUCUAGCAACUGACAGAAUCGGAAGGGCGUGUUUAAAUGAAAUCAUAGACCCCUUUCUCGAGCCCUGUAUGGAUGACGCUUGGACCCUUUCGUCGGUUCAAAAGGUCGCUGAAUUGGCAUUCAGAUGCCUUGCAUUUCACCGAGACAUGAGACCGACAAUGAUAGAAGUGACAGCUGAGUUGGAGCUCAUCAAGCUAAGCAGAUGGCCGUCUUCAGAAGAAAACACUUACACAGCUUCAUCGGAGGGAUCCUCCCAUUGCUCUCCAUCUAGCGUGAGCGAAAAGCCUCUAAGUAUUACCAAAUCCCGAUCACUUCGAAGCGUCAUUGCGCUGCAGAAUGGGGAUGCCGGUAGCUUCAAUUCGAGCGAAAAGUUAAGGGACAAUUCACCGGUCACUUUUCAAGAUACGUGGUUAAGCGAACGGAGCUCGCCUUCAUCGAACAGUUUGCUGAGUAAUGUAAUUCAGUGACCCUAAAAGGUGAUCAAACAGUUUGCUUAUAGUUUCACGUCAACAUGUUCAUACCAUCAGUUUUAAUGCAGUACAGGGGAAUUUUCCCAUCCUCAUCAUUGUUCAAUAUGUACUGAUCAGCAUAAGCUUUUAGGGGAAAUAAAUAAUUGUUUUGUUGUCAUAUAUGUGAACUCUUUUUUUUUUUUUUUUUUUUUUUUUUUUUUUUUUUGGAGUUCUUAGUUAAAAUUACAGAGACUAAAAAAGUUGUAGGCUGUUUCGUGAGGUUUUGAUACUUUUAGCGGCAGAAUCAUGAUUUCAAUUUCAUCUAGGGCGAAACUUAUGUACUAAUUUUUGUUGUUUUUCUUAUGCCAUUUUAUAACCAUUUUGUUUGUUUUCACCUUUUUUCAAAACUACAAGCUUGUUUGUCAACUAAUUCCAAUUUAAGCAAAAAUUUAAAAACUCACAAAUUAAAAAUUUAAUUUCUCAACCAAAAGGUAAUUAAAUUUUAAGUUUUGUGUACUAGUGGAGUACAUGUAGCAUGAGUAGAGGUGCAACUUGGGCGGGUUGGGUGGGUUGGAAGGUCAACCCAAUCCUAAUCUAACUUUUACAAUUCGGGCUUGGGUUCGGGUUGGGCUUUAUUCAGGUUCAUUUGGGCUCAGGUUUAAUUGGGUUAGGGUUUACUUGGGUUGGGUUCAGGUUACCCAACUUUUUCAAGCUUAAUUUUGUAACAACUUAGUUUCCAAGAAUUCCAACAAAAAAUUAAGCCAAGUAGCAUCAAAUCUAUCUAACUUUAAUUGCAUAAAUCAAUCUACUAUAAAGCUUUACGAUUUAGGGACUACGAAUAUGGACUGCCUAAUCAUACUUUUAUUCCCUAAAAGCUUAAGUAAUUAUAAAGGGUAAUUUAUUAAAAAAAAAAAUAUAUUAGAAAGGGUAUUGGUUUUUGGACUUGGCUCACUUGGGUGUAUGUUGGAGCGGAAAAUUUCGGGUACUCCAAUUCUCCACCAACAAGUAAUUUUGAACACGUUGAGAAGCCUUGGACACCAUCUUCGCUUGUCAACAAUGAGAGCGGGGGGGACCUGUAAGAAAACACUCUGACACCCAAGUCAGUAUUUGUUUAGAAUGCUUACAAAUAUAGAACGAUCUCCUACCUCCCUUUCUCUCCCUUUUUCUGGUAGGAUUAUUAGCCUUUUAUAGGCAUUCAAGUCUUGGGCUCCAAGUCCCACUUUCCUUUUAUUUCUCCAUGUUCCACAUUCCACAUUCCAUGAAGUAUCUGAUUAUGCUCCUUUAUUUUAGCCUCACUCCUCAUGUUUAGCAUGCUAGUGGCUUGUUUAGUGGAGGAGUAAUUUUUGGCUCCCACAUUGCCCCCUUUUUUCUUUGCAAACAUAUAUCAUUUAGGGUUUGUAGAGGAAAAACGUUUUCUUGCAAAAAUUCAUUUGACUUGAGAUAUCAUCAUGAGUUUAGCCUUCGACUACAAUCAUAGUUUAUCUUGUGUUUACAAUCAUAGUUUAGCCUUUGGUUACGAUCACAUAGUCAAAUUAUCAUUCGGCCACAAUCAAUUGGUCAUAACUUAGCCUUCUGUUACGAUCUCACAAUCAUAAUUUAACAUUUGGCUACAAUCAUACGAUCAUAAUCCACCAUUCGGCCAUGAUCAUAGGUGAAUGUUUAGCCUUCAGCUACGAUCAUACGAUCAAUAUUUAGCCUUCAGCUACGUUUAUACGAUCAUAGUUUAGCCUUCGACUACGAUCAUAGGUGAAUGUUUAGCCUUUGGCUACUAUCAUACGAUCAAUGUUUAGCCCUUGGUUACGAUCAUAGGGUCAAAGUUUAGCCUUUGGCUACGAUCAUAUGGUAUUUGACCAUGGGUUUUGGAUUUUCAACCCUCAUUCUUGGGUUUCAGCCAUAAUUCAGUCUUGGGUCUUCGACACUCGGUCAAACGAUCACCGAUCAUGAGGUUUGGAAUUUGACCAUACAUUUGUGUAUGACUAACAUGCCCCCAAAGUAAUUGUAUUUCAAAUUAGCGGAAGUCUUACCAAUGAGCAUGUAUAGGAUAGAAAUUCUUAUCUAGCAGGCAACUUCCUUACUGUCAGAGUGAAUUUACCCUGCAAUCUCUUUGCUUAGAAGCUUUGUGUGCAAGCAGUUGGUUCCCCUAGCGAUUGAGUACUCAUAUUGCUCCACAAUUCAUAUCUGGCUUUGCACGAGUUACCAAUUCUGUACUUUUCUCACUGUCAUAGCCAUAUAAAGAAUAAUAAAUUCACUAGAGAAAUUCAUGUUGUGGAGACCACAAACUGGUGUAUAAUAUGUUAGCUAAAUUGAAGAUAUCAAUUUUUGUCUCCUCCAGCAAUAAUAUUGAAGCUUUGUUGAGAUGCACACGUGACAAUCUUCACUUAAGCCAUAUAAGUGGCUUUUCGAUCUUCUCCGUAGCCCAUGUCUUGACCAUGCGACUGGUCUCAACUUUUUUUUUUUUUUUUUUGUAGACUCAACUUGGUCAAGCAAAAGUUUUGUCCCUUCAUGAGAAUCAUGCAUACUCGUCCAUAUAAGAGCAAUUCAACUAUCAAAUGUGAUGGGGUUCAAAUGAGGCAUGAGGGCUUAUCUUCCAUGUGUAUUCACAUAAGAGCUUUGAAUCCCACAAGGAAAAGCACAGCUGGGCCACUCCAAUUCCAAUUAAGCAUCAAUCUUGAAUUAAUUGACAUACACUACACCUUCAUAUUUAGCAUUACUGAGUCUAUAGCCUCUAUACUAACAAUACUCGCAGUCUAACAUCACCUAGUCAAUUUUGCCAAAUAUGGAUCAUGAGCAAACGUUACCUUGAUAAAUCUAACAUUUUAAAUCGUGGCUUAUCCCACCAUUCAAACUUUUGGUAUGCAGCCAAAGGAUGCACACUGAAACUAGCCACCACGUAAUGACGAUAAUUUCAUGUGGGUUGAAAUUUCCUCUUGUCCAACCUUGUCUUAUGUCUUCACAUGUUACUCAAUGUUCUCUUUCUUCAAUGGUGUUUCUUCCUAUGUUUGGUUCUCUAUAGUAGAAUAACGAGACAAUUCAGAAUGGUCUAAGGUCUGCAACUUCAACCCCUCCUCCCAGUAUAGUUUGACCAGUGUAAAUCUAUCCCAUUUGAAUGCAAGGUCUCAUCGCCAAUAAUAUAGAUCGAGAGUAGGGGUCUCUAAGCCCAACUUUCGGUGUGCAUACUCUGCAUGAUUCACUAAUCAUGGAACUCACUUCUGAAUAAAAGCACUUGAAAAAGUUUAGAUCGUAUUGUAUCCAAGUAUGGAAAGAUAGUCGAGUCAACAUAAGCUAGAUGUUCAAUCCUUCGACAAGCUCCAAGGAAGCUAAUUCAAUAAUGACUGACAAAUAAUUUCUUUCCUGGCCAAUUCAUGAAACAGAAACAGUUUAGAAGUUCCAUCCAAAACGUAAUAUGGAUUACACACAUUCUAUUAUGAACUCAAAUAAGAAUAUUCUUCAUGUAGAAUUUAAACGUGCUGAAAGAUUUUUCUUUGUCAAAUUAUAAGCGAUAGAGGAUUUGUAAGCACAAUCUCUUUAACUUGUUAUGACGAAAAUAUGUACUGAUAGAAUUUGUAUUUUAUGCAAAAUCGUAAAAGAGACAGAGGAAAUAAAUCGUAAAAGAGAUAAAGGAAAUAAGCUCUUCUCUAUAUUUGGUAUGAAUUCGUGCCCCCACUGCAUAACUGGAAAUAUUUGCUCCUCGCUUUGUAUAAAUGUUUUCCAACCAGUGAUUGAAAGCUUUAGUGAAAUAAUAGAGAGUGAAUAGAAAGCUUCCCUGUUUGGGGUUUUUGGCCCGUGCCCCCAUUGUGGCUUGGGUGGAAACCAUGACUUCUCGAUACGGCUAUUUUGUACGAAUUCCCACAGACGGCGCUAACUGUUGGAGCGGAAAAUUUCGGGUACUCCAAUUCUCCACCAAUAAGUAAUUUUGAACACGUUGAGAAGCCUUGGACACCAUAUUCGCUUGUCAACAAUGAGAGUGGGGGGACCUGGAAGAAAACACUCCAACGCCGAAUUCAGUAUUUGUUUAGAAUGCUUAUAAAAUAUAGAACGAUCUCCUACCUCCCUUUUCUCUCCCUUUUUUUGGUGGGAUUAUUAGCCUUUUAUAGGCAUUCAAGUCUUGGGCUCCAAGUCCCACUUUCCUUCUAUUUCUCCAUGUUCCACAUUCCACAUUCCAUGAAGUUUCUGAUUAUGCUCCUUUAUUUUAGCCUCACUCCUCAUGUUUAGCAUGCUAGUGGCUUGUUUAGUGGAGGAGUAAUUUUUGGCUCCCACAGUGUAGUAUGAGCAUUAAUUGAUAUGGGUUACAAUCUGGUUAGAUUGAGUUUGGUUAGUCAAGUUGGUUUGGGGAUGGAUAGGCAAAAGAUCAACCCAACUCAAUCCAAUCAAUGUACGGAUUGAAAUUGGGUUGGGUUCAGGCGAGUUAUAACUAAAAAAAAACUUACUUGUUUGGGUUUAAAGUCGGGUUGGACAUGAGCAGGUUCAGGUUGGCCUAACUCAAGUUGCACCCCUAGGCAUGCAUAAAAGUUAGAAUGUAAAAAUGAGAAGGUAAGAGAAGAUUGUUAACACUCCAUUUUCUUCUUUGGCGGAGCUUUCACUAAACUUAAUUUAAAACAGUAAAGCAACUAUCGUUCUGCAAUUUUCUCAAAUACAAGAUGCAAAAUACUCAAGAAUGAGCAUUUUACUAGAAAGUUUUCAUUAAAUCGAAACACCGUCACGUGAUGUUGUAAUUUCAUUCAAACUGUAACUUGUGUAAUUUUUUUAAUAUUUUCUAAAAAUGAGACAGAUAAACCAUGUAGUCUACAAUAUUAUAUUACUCACACGUUGGUAGCUAGGAAAGACUAAAAUGCCUUUGUGAUUGUGUAUCUUCUUAACAUCAAAAAAGAUAUACUACUGUGAUGAUACCACCGGUUUGUCCUUAAAAAAAAAUCUACACUUUUACCAUGUGCGCUAUUUACUUAUUUAUAAAAAGUAUAAAGUAUCUUAUAAGACGAAAAAAAAAAGGUAUCUUAAUGUUGUUUGGUAUAUGAUAGAAAAUUAUAUACAGCAAUCUAGCAAAUAGUGUGAUGAAUUAUUUCCCUUCUUUAUGAGACAUGUGGUGAUAGUCUAUGUGCAAAUCAGUUUCAAUUGCAAUCUGACUAUGCUUUUACCUUUGUAAUUCAGCCUUUUCAGACAAACAUACAUUAACUAGUCACAUCCACACCCACACCCACACCCACAACUCCAACUUCACCAAAAAAAUUUGUAAAUUCUUGUGGGUGUCAUCUCAUAUAUAUCCACCUCUAAGUAGGGGUGGGUUGGAAAAACCGAAAACCGAAAAAAACCGGACCGAAAACCGAACCGAGACCGAAAAAACCGAACCGAAAAAAAAACCGAACCGAAGCUGUUGAACCGAACCGAACCGAAGCUGUCUGGUUCGGUUUCGGUUUCUGAGGUUCGGAAACCGAACCGAACCGAAAACCGAACCGAAGUCUUCAAAACGACGUCGUUUUAUGCUAUUUUAUUAAUUAAUAAUCCUAAUUCUAAUACGCCACCGUUUUACCGAGUGUAACCUAAACCUAGGUCCAGUCCUCCUAUCUCGGUCUCGCCUGUUUUCGCACUCCCAAUUCGCGCAGCCCCUCCCUCCUUCCCUCCUCUCAAACUCUAUCUCAAACUCUAUCUCUCUGCUCUCAUUCCCAGCGGCGCUGCGGCGGUGACUGAGAAUUCACCCAAAGCCAAACCUCUAAAGCCCGAGUCUGACUCUCAAAACUCUGUCUCUCAAAUUCUGUCUCUCAAAAGGUUAGUACUCUCGACUACACUCUCACGUUUAAUUUUCUGCUGUAGAUAGAUUCAAACCAAACCUCUAAACCCGAGUCUUAAACAGGUCAGAGCACUGGAAGUGACUGAGGAUUCUCUAUUAUUUCUCCCAUCAGCAAUCGGCACUGGGCGAGUUAGCACUGGAAGUGACUCAGGUGCUUCAAAAAUUCUCUCUUAUUUCUUGUUUGAAAACUGCGAUUGAAACCCAUGACCCAUAUGUUUCCCCCAAUUCAUGUCUUCAUUCAAUUUGUUUAAAAUUAGGGUUGUUGAAGACGAGAUUGAAAGAGUUCGAAAACCGGGAAUUUCUCGGUGGAUUUAAGAACAGUGAGUUUGUGGAGAAAUUCAAGUCCAGCUUGGUAUGUUCUCUCUACCUUCAUUUCGAAAUUUGUUGCUUUCGGCUUUGAGUUUUCAUAGCAAUUGAAUUUGUUAACUUUGCAUUUUGAUUGCUACAUUUACCAAUUUGGGUUUACAGUACUAGGCCAGGUAGAGGUAGGCGUAGAUGGAUUGGGGGUUUGGGGUUGAUCUUGUAAAUUACUGUGUGUGAUUAGCCUGUAGUUUUAGGGUUCCUAGACUUGCUCAAACUUCCAAUUUUCAUCUGCUGUGCACUGUCUACAGAUCUUGCCAGAUUUCAAAUUAGAUUUUUGGGUCUCUUGGUUAAUCUUGAUUUUUCCUAUUUUAUUUGUUCCUUCUUUUUGGAUGUGCUAAUUCCUGGUUUUUGUUUCUUCCAUGCAAUUUUAUAUAACUACAGAAAGGAAUACCCAACGUACUAUUAGCAUUAGACUUGUGGGAAACAUGUGCUUUUAAAAUCAAAAGCAGUAACAUAACACCAAGAGACUGCAUAUUCAGUAACCAUAGAAAGAACAAAAAUAAGUGAUCUAAGGUGAACGGUAUUAUAUUCUUUUGACGGUUAUCCUUUUUCAAAAGAACUUCACACGGUUAUCCUAUGUUUAAUGAAAACUGAAAUGAUCAUAGCAUGUUCCCUGGUAUAGCCUUAAGCCUUUAAGGAAGCAGAGCGGCAUUACUGGCUUAUGAAAAUAAUUCUAUUUUAACUCCAAGAUGAGAUUGCUCACAAUCACAACUAAGUGAAGGCUCCUGCCAAUAUGCGGUAUAGGGAAGCAAGAUGUACACAGAGUGCUUUAAGCAUUAGACUUGUGGGAAACUUGUGGACUUAAGUUUUUUGUUUUCUUUUAUAUAUAAUGGAUUUUAUUUUGGCUGGCAUGUUGGUUUCUGUUGGUGCAAUAGGAGUUCCAGUUGAAUGUAGUUGGAAUUUGGGUUUAGUUUUGAUCUUAUCUUUUGUUGUUAUUAUCUUGUCGCAUAUAGAUCCGGCCAAUACAAAUUUUGAGCCCUCAUAAGUCAAUUUAGUCUGUUAUUGGCACAUUUAAAACUUAAGCUUCGAUAAGUAGAUUUUUUUGAUUGCUCAAAUAUGAAAUUAUAGGAUUAGGGAAGAGACACAUGCAGUAUCAUUCUUUAACAAUUAAAGGUCAGGUGGUAAAGGUCAUGAAAGCAUCAAUUGAGGACUUAAAUAAACACGAGUUUUAUAAAUUGUUAAACUUUGCUUUUAAUUCGAAAUCUCUAGGUUUUGGUGUUUGACAAUUGAACAACUUUGCUUUUAAUUUAGUAGGUAUUGGGAUGUAAAAGUCUUAUCUUUUUGUUUUGUAUCUUAAUUAGAUGAAGUCAAGUGCAUCAAAGGCCUCGCCCUGGAGCUCAAGCUCAAACUCAAUGAGAUCAUCAAAUAGCUCCCGUGAAAAAAUAAACUCAUCUACUUCUACUCCAUCACAAGUAAGUUGUCAUCUUUAUACUUUCUAUGGUUUUUAUGUCUCAAUUUAUUUAAUAAUUAAUUGUAAAGAUUGUUUCUCUUAUUUUUGAAGGACAUUGUUGGUGAAUCAACUCCACCUCAACUCCCCAUGGUGGCAACUCAACAUACUCCUCUUACUCAUGGUGGAUCCACAAAUUUAUCCAAUGCAACUCCAAAACAAGGUGGCUCAUGCUCGAGUGAUCAAGUAAGUAAAGAAGACACUCCUUUGGAUAAAUUGGAUUCACUAAAAAGUCAUUCAAGAUCUACAAUUUGGGAGCAUUUUGAUAGGGUAAUCGAGGAUGGUAGAGUUAAAGGGGUGUGCAUGUAUUGCAAGAAAUCAUAUAUGGCCGACACGGAUAAAAAUGGCACAACUAGUUUAAGAAAUCACUUAGCUAGAUGUAGAAGCUAUGGUCCUAAUAAGGAAAUAUUUGCGGCAAAUAGGCAAAAGAUCUUAACCUUUGCCGGCACAAAAGAUAAGUUGGAAGCUAUUGGUUUUUCUCAAGUGGAAGUUACUAAGGCUUGUGUUGAGAUGAUAAUUAUAGACGAGUUACCUUUUUCUUUCGUCGAGGGAGAUGGGUUUCGUCAUUUUUGCAUGCAUGCAUGUCCUUUGUGGAGAGUACCUAGUCGUAAGACAAUAGCUAAAGAUGUACUUGGCUUGUUUUACUCCGAAAAGGAGAAAUUGAAAAGUCAGUUGAAGACAUUUAGGGUGUGUCUAACAACGGAUACAUGGACUUCUAUACAACAAAUAAAUUACAUGGUUCUCACCGCUCAUUUUAUUGAUGAUGAUUGGAUGUUACAUAAAAAGAUUUUGAACUUUUGUGUCAUUCCAAAUCAUAAGGGAGAAUCCAUUGCUCAACUAUUGGAGGAGUGUUUGGUGGAGUGGGGCAUAGAGAAGGUGUUAACUAUUACGGUUGAUAAUGCUUCGGCAAAUGAUUAUGGCUUAAGGGAUUUGGUGCACCGAAUAAGUGGGUGGGGGAUUCCUAAUGCACUUUUGCAUGAUGGAAAAUAUUUGCACAUGAGGUGUGUUGCUCAUAUCCUUAAUUUGGUGGUGAAUGAUGGGAUUAAAAUGUUGAAUACCGCCAUACAAAGCAUUCGUAAUGCGGUUAGGUAUGUAAGAUCUUCCCCUCAAAGGUUGGAGAGCUUUAAAAGGUGUGUUGAGAAAGUGAGAAUAAUAGAAGGCAAAGGGCUUGUGAUUUUAGAUGUCCCUACUAGGUGGAAUUCCACAUUUUUAAUGUUGGAAUCGGCUUUGAAGUUCAAGAUGGCUUUUGAUAGGUUGAAAGUAGAUGAUGGUCAUUACCUUCCUUACUUUACUAAAGAAAAUCAUGAUAAUAUAAGGGAGGGGCCACCUUCAACUCAUGAUUGGAGUGAGGCGGGAAUAUUUGCAUCCUUUUUGAGACCUUUCUAUGAAGUCACUUUAAAAGUGUGUUGUUCUAAUACUCCAACAAUUCAUACUACUUUUGGUGAUUUGUUUAAGAUCAAAAGUCUCAUCCUUGAAAACAAAGAUAAUGAAUUCUUGUCUAUGAUAUCUAUGUUGAUGCAAGAAAAAUAUGACAAAUAUUGGGGUUCAAUUGAGGAUAUGAAUCAAUAUGUUUUUGUUGCACUUGUGCUUGAUCCUCGCCAUAAAUUGGAGAAGGUGGUUGAUUAUUAUGAGAUACUAUAUGGCGAGGACGAGGAGGACGAGGAAAAAGUUGAAAUUGCAACCAAUGCGGUGAAAAAUUUGUUGUUUGAUCUUUACAAGAUUCAAGAAGAGUCAUCUUUUGAUACACAACAAAGUGCAAGUAGUGGUGGUAGUUCUCAAUCGGCAACUACAAGUGGGAAUGAGAAAAGCAUGACAGAGAUUGAAAGGAAGUUGAAAGAGAAAAGUGAAAUGAGAAAAGCAAAAAGAGCUCGUAUUGUGCACAAUGAUUUGGAUAGGUAUCUUUUGGAUCAUAUGGAAGGGGAAGAAGAGGCAAACUUUGAUAUCUUGAAUUGGUGGAGGGUGAAUGGGCUUUCGAAGUAUCCUAUUUUGGCACGAGUUGCAAAAGAGAUUUUAGCUAUUCCGGUAUCAACUAUUGCUUCGGAAUCCUCCUUUAGCACAAGUGGAAGAAUAAUUGAUCCAUACCGUAGCUCUUUGAGUCCAAAAAUGGUGGAAGCUUUGAUAUGUACACAAAAUUGGCUUAGGUCAAUUCAUGUAGCAUUACAUCAUGAGCCAACCAUUGAGGAGAUUGAGUUUUGUGAAGAAGUUGAGAAAGGUAAAUUUACUUAUUGCAUUUGGUUUUGUUAGACUAUUUUAAUUAGAUGCUAAGUUGCAUGCUUGCUUUACAUCAUCAUGUUGUUUCUUUUUUUAUUUGUAUGUAGAAAUGACAAGUGGAAGCUCAAAUAAAGGUGCUAUGUUGCCUCCUAGGCCGCCUAAGCGUUGAACUUGAGGACUUGGAAGAUUUUAUUUGUGCAAGACAUGAAGUGAUGAAACUUUGAAGGUUUAUUUGACUUGUGUGAUGUUUAUUUUAAAUUUGGACUUUUUUAAAGACUUAAACUUUCAUGUUUAUUUAAGUUUGGACUUUGGAAAUUGGAAUUUGGAAUUUGGAAGACUUGGAUUCUCAUUCUCAUCAUGAUUUUGUUGUUGUAAAUAUGUUAUUUCCCGAAGUUGGACUGUGGAUGAAGAAUGUGAGCUUUUAUAUUUUCAAAUUUUUUAUUUUUUGGAGACAGAAAAAAAAAAAAAAAAAAACCGAAAAAAACCGAAACCGAACCGAAAUAACCGAACCGAAAAAAAAACCGAACCGAAAAAAAACCGAAAAAAUGUGAACCGAACCGAACCGAACCGAAAUUUCGGUUCAGUUUCGGUUUUAGGAAAAAACCGAACCGGUGGGAACCGAACCCACCCCUACCUCUAAGCGUUUCAAUCGUCUGGAUCAAUAAUACGAUUUUUUUUAGGCGAAAUAGUAGAAUAUUAAGAUCGUCGACUUCUUGUUAUCGUUCGUAAUUCUUAAUAUCGUUGUAAAUAUAUUUGCACACAAGCACCUCACUCAAAACCUGAUUAUUUCUUGCGUGUCAAUGAAAAUAUAUUAGGAAGAAGAAUAAUUAUAAUUUCCCACAUUUAAUUAUAUUUCUGCAAUCCACCUUACAAAACAUAAUAUUCCAAUUUUCACAUGUUAUUCGGAUCAUCACUAUACAGAAAAGUCACAUAUAAAGCCGGUCCAAUAUCCCACUUAUCCACUAAUAAACAAAAGAAACAAAAUCUACAAAUCCCAAAAAAAUUAAAAACAAAAAACUCAAAAGCUAGCUCUUUUCAGUGACGUCACAGUAAUGGCAGCACCCAACGGCGACGGCGCCACCUCAAUCUCAAACGAAUCAUACCGGAGAAAAAACUCCACCACCAAAAGCCUCGAAGCCAACACGCUAAAGUCCUUUCCAGCACACUGUUUGUUCCCGACCGUCGGACUCUCCGUCUCAGGCCCGUUCGACCACAGCACGUGCUUCAACAGCUUCUCCCCGUCAUCGCCGACAAACCGAUCCGGGACAAACUCAUCGGCUCGCUCGAAAAUCCUUGGAUCUUUGGUUGCGAACGGUUGGAAUCCGAACAGCAACUCCCCUUCUUUAACCUUAAACGCCGCGUCGUGGCUCUCGAUCACGAGAUCCGUCUUCGCCCUUCCGAACUGCGACGCCACCGGUGGCUCAAUCCUGAACGUUUCGUAGACCACAGAUUUCAUCAAUGGCAUUUGCUCCAUUGCGCCCAUCGUAAUUUUUCCGUCGUUGGAUCGGACGGCGGUUCGGAUCUCCUCGGCCAAUCGAGUGUGGAGCCCGACACCGGCGCGCCCAAUCCACUUGAUCAUAUUAGGGAAUUGGAACUUCAUCCCGCCGAACGAAUUGAAGCACGUGGCGAAUAACAGAUUGUGGCACGCCUCGUCACGUGAGACACCCAGUCGCUCGGCCUCGUCGAGCACGUGACCGGAAGACUGGUAGAAGAAAUCGUAGAGGCGCUGGUAAUCCUUCUUGAUCAAAAAUGGCGGGAGCCGGAAAGAAUGGAUAAUGGGUUCUUCGAUGAACUUCGGGAGGCCGAGGAUCAGAAGUGGGCCCAAGUUAAACAGGACCCACUUGGAUACAAGCUUGGGUCCGUCGACCCCAAGUGGAGUGUCGGCAGGGUUGGCCCCGUACAGCGACCGGGUCAAGAAGUUAAACGCAGCCUGAUCGUUGGCCGCGACGAAGUUGGCUUUACCUUUGUCAGCGAGACUGGCCUCGAGAGUUUCAAAAAGCUCCGUGUAGGACGAGUGAAACUCGGGUAUCACCGAGUCGCGACUCGACUUCAGGAGGUAGAAAAGGAUCCGCUUCAGCUUGUCGUGCUUGGGCUCCGAUGGGUCGAGGUAGGAAAGGAUGCGGUAGCCGCCGGUGAGCUCCACGGAGGGCAUGUAAGUUCCGGUAAAGAGGUCCUUUUUUUCGACUUUCGAGACGUCGAAGAGCACCGGGAAGCUCUUGCCGUCGAGGAGGGCGACGACCUUGGAUUUGUAGGUGAUAGUGGGGCCCGGUGGCAUGUUUACUCGGAACACCGUUGACUGGUAUUUCUGGAUGCGGGACUUGAAGAACUCGUCCCUACCCUGGUUGUAGAAGUAGUCGAGGCGGUCGCUGAUGGGGCCGACGAUGGGGAAGCCGUAGUCUCCGGGGAUUUUCUUGAAGGGGAGGGAUUUUGUCCUGUCGGACUCGGGCGGGUUUGCUGAAACAGAAGAGGAGGAGGGGGAUUUCUCGGAAACAGAGGCGGAGAUGGGACGCACAUGGCGGCGCUUGGAGGAGGAGUUGAAUAGCGGUGAUUUUCUUGAUGAUUGGGUUGGAAACUGUAGUUGCAGAGAAGGGAAUACCAAAGAAGUCGAAGCCAUUGGAGGCGGCUUUGACUGUCGGUUAAAAAGAUGAGACAGUUGGUGGGUAGAAGAUGGUGGGUGUUUGGGUGGCACAGUACUGGCAGCUUUAUUUAUAGUGGGGAAGUUGGGUGGGAAGACGGUGGGUUAUUGGAGCCCAAAAGUCAGUGUAGAUUAUUAAGGUGGGUCGUGGAAUGCGUGCAUUAAUUGUAUAUGUUGCUUUGGUUUGAGUGGCGCGAGAGAUUUUUUUAAUGUUUUCUUUACACGAUGUGGUAUAUCACGUGUUCUUAUAUAAAUUGUGGGUUAUGUGUGUUAAAAGAUUAAUAACUUAAAAAUUAAAAUUUUUCACCACUUGCAUAAAAACAUAUGAUAUAUCAUCUGUAUUUCCGUCACAACUAAAUUUUUUUCGAGUGGUGCGAAAUAGGAACCCAUUGAAAAAUAGAAGAAUACCAAGUGUCACAAAAUAUUGAAGCAGUUCUUUGGAUUGGAAAGUUGAGUGCAUUUUUGCUCAUCAUUAUUUAGUGUGGUGUAUGCUUACUGUCAUAUUUAUCACCGUUAGAUGAGUUUGAAUUUUGAGAUUUGUAUUUAUCUAUUACACGAAUCUCGAAAUUCAAAUUCAUCUAACAGUGAUAAAUAGGGUGGGAAGCAUACACUAUUCUAAAUGGUGGUGAGCAAAAAUGCUCCCUUGGAAUGUUUGUGGUUGAAACACAUUCAUCUUGUCUGUGCCAACCUUAGUUGAAGAUGUAAUGUGUCUGCAACACUCUUCACGUAACAAAUUUGAUGUACGAGUGUUUGGGCCCAAAAUAUUAAUUUGGGCCGAGGGUAGGAUCACUCUCGGCCCGGGAGGCCGAUCGGCUAGUGGGCUUCCCAGCCUAGGGCGGUUAGGUCAGAACGCCAGCCGAGUCCUAGUACAAUGAGGAGUCUCGACGGGAUCAAUAAUCCAGAAGACAAAUCCGGCUCAGUUAAGGACUAGAUUCAUAGUCCUAGUAAAGAUAGGACUAGUCGAGGUGACGUUGAUCCGGAGAGGAAAACCUAGUCCGAAUAGGAUUCUAACUCAGACUUAAGGACCAGUGCUAUAAAUAGGGGAAGCUGUGCACCAGGAAAGCCUGCAAAUCAAUACAAAAUUGCCCUGCGCAAAUUCUCACAACUUGUGAUUUUUCUUUUUUCCUUUUUCGCUGACACAUCUUCUGUUGGCAUUAACAGCACUGUGAAAGCAACCGGUGAUAUCUUAAGUCGGCAUAGAUAGCUCUGUCACCGUAGAGUCAGUCGGUCUCGCAGUAUCUUCCGUUGGCAUCAACAGCACUGCGGCGAGAACGAUUGAUUACCUAUCCAAGUCUCGGUCGAGAAGGGUUUCUAAAUCCUUGUUGGUCGAGGUCAUUUCAUCAGUCUUCUCGGUGAAGUGAGGUGUUACAGUUAUUACAUUCGGCACAUGGAAAGCCGAAUUUGAUAUUGAACUUCGUAAGAAUAGUAACCUUGUCUUCAGGUUCGAGAGCCCAAGAGGCCGAGACGUGUUCCUUUCUCGGCCGCAAUCGCAAGACGCAGAAGUCAGUAGCGCGACCCAACGCAACAUCAACAAAUUUACUCCUCGGCCGAGCUCAGCCGACGAGUUGGCACGUCCCGCAAUCACCGAAGGACGUAGUUAGCUUAUUAAUUACUCGGCCUGCGCGCCUCGUAGGCUUGGUUGUUUUUAGGGUCAACAACGAGUAAUGCAUAUAAUUGGGAUUAACAAGUUUCUUUACUUGUUUGUUUAUGUAGUGCAUCCACUCAUCAAGGGAAAAGAAACAAUUUCUCAUCUAUGCAAAUCACAUGGCACAGGCAAAAAAUAACUCGUCAAAAACACAAGAAAAACAGUUUAUGCACACGUUUAAAAUUAUGAAUCUAUGCAUUACAUGAAUGUAAGAGUGUGUACUUCGACAAGAAAAUGCCAAAUAUUUUCCCUUGAAAACAAAUUAAGUUAUAAAUGCUUAAUCAAAAGUAAAACUAGAAGAACAUGAAGUCAAUAAUAAAUCGUUUAUCGUUUAUCAGUCUAGUUUACGUAAACUACCGAUUCAUCCAAUUAAGGUUUGUGCAUAUUUUUCUUUUAUGUUGAAUUGUAUUUGGUCUAAAUCAUGGUUCUUGUUACUAAUUUGUUUUCUCAUUUGAAGAGUUAUUUUGUUACCAAACGUUAACUAAUAGGAAAGAAAACUUUGCAUGGAGCAUGCCAAAUAGAAAAAGCAUUGCAUGGACUACGAUCCGUCAACAUUCACUCAACGUUAAAGUUGAGUUGUCGUUUUUCUUAUGCUUCCUAUCUGAACAAGGGUAACCCCCUCGAAGUGGCGCGUGUUUUACGCGCCCGCUCCUCGGUCCUCAUAUGUGAAUAUUGCGCGUGGGUCUAACAACUCUACUUUUGUCAACCACAAACCGAGGACGGAGUUGAAAGUCAUGGCCAUCCAAUUGUGUGUUUGAAAGUCAUGGCCAUCAAAUUGUGUGUUUGAAAGUCAAAGUGAAUGCUCAUUUUUACUUCCGAGGACGCGAUACCUGAGGUAUGGUUUCUCACUGCCGGCCAAUAUUGCACGCGCAUGUCACGUGACCGCCGUCCAUUUAGCAACUGUACAGCGACCCUUUUAUUCACUUGCGCUAGUUUGGCCAGUCGGGGAAAAUGUGAGCUUUGCCUCCCAAGUGAUUGGAUUCUCUUUCACUUUCUUUGGUCAUCGACGAUCUUCAUUUUACUUUUGGAAUUUGGACAAGUCAAAUGUAACUAUACCAUGUCCUCCUACACUAGGGUCGUCGUAAAACAUAACUACGAUCAUUCAUUCAAAUGAUGUAUAAUAUGUAGAUUCAUAAUAGAUUAUGUAACGGUAUGACGAUCGUGUUUAAUAUAUGUAGAUAUGUAACACAAGCUAUGAAAUUAAAAUCAUCAUUAAUUAAACAAUUAAUGAUAUGCAUGUUAUUCAAUCAAAGAUAUUUAAAUUAAAACCCUCAUUAAUUAAUUGAUCAAUGAUAUGAAUGUUAUUCAAUCAAGGAUAUUUAAGAGCCACGGAAUUAAAACACAUGAUUCAACAACUAUCUUCAUUUAUGGAAACAAAGUCCCAACAAACACUAAAUUUAAGUUCUCUCCUUGUGAGAAAUUUUCUCUCAUUAUGAGAGCUUUUCUCACCGAUGUGUGAGUGUCCUCCGCUUCGUUUUUCUCGUAGCCGCUUACCCUAGCUAUGGCCAAGGUCGGGGCAGUCCUUCUCUUCUCCUUUCUUCUUCUUUUUUUUUUUUUCCCAUUUCCUUCAUCUUCUGUUUUCCUCUACCUAGUGGCCUGUUUGCCACUUAACCCCCUGUGCAUCUGCUUUCUUUGAUUUCAGUCACUUUUCCAACUUUUCUCAUUUCUUCCUUCCUUCCACUUUUCCCCUCUGUUUCCUUUGGUCUUCCUUCCACCUUUUCCCAUUAUUUCUCUCCACCCUUUCCCCCUCUUUCCGCCCACGUUCUCCAAUCCGGAUCAGCUCCAUCCUUCUUCGACUUCACUAUCCGGAUCGGCUCCCACUUUUUUUCAACAUGAUUUAUUGUGCUUUUCCCAGAAGGUGAGCAGAGUUUUGGCUCGGGUGGUCACACCACCUCCUUCCUUUGGUUUGCCUUUGUUGGCACUGUUGCUAGUGGAUUUUUUCCAGAUGGCUUCCUUCGAUUUGUGGUGGCUACUGCUAUGGUGCUCUAUGGAGGAGUUUGGGGUCCUGUUGUGGCUCAUUUUUCAUCUAGAUUUGGGGCUCUGGUUAUUUUGAUUUCAGAUAGGUACAUGGGAUGUUCGUUCAGCAAGCGGGUUGUCAGCGGAUGUAGGAAGCUGUUAGGGUUUGCUUUGUUGUUUUUUCAGGUUAGGGCUCAAAACUAUGUUUUGGGUUGUUGGGUUACUAUGGAGUGGACAUGUAAACGGGUUGAGUUUAUUGGGUUUAGGUCGGGUUGAACCAAACCCAUUAAGUUAACGGGUCAUCUGAAUUCGACCCGUUAAGUUAACGGGUCAUCUGUUUCACCCGUUAACAAUUAUUAUUAUUAUUAUUAUUUUGCAUAGAGUUUUCAGUUUAGGGCUCAAAACUAUGUUUUGGGUUGUUGGGUUACUAUGGAGUAGACCUGUAAACGAGUCAGGUUUAUUGGGUUUGGGUCGGGUUGAACCAGACCCAUUAAGUUAACGGGUGACUCGUUAACAAUUAUUAUUAUUAUUAUUAUUUUGCAUAGAGUUUAUAUUUUGUUGUUAAGACUUUAUUGAAAUUACUAAAACAUCCUCAACUAACGGAUGUUAACGGGUCUAACGAGUUGACCCAAAGUGACCCGUUAUUUAACGGGUUGUUAAUGGGUUCACCCGUUAGCGACUCGACCCGUUAAGCAUCCACCCAAAUACUAAUAUUAACGGGUCGGGUCCAAAAUGCCAAGUCUACUAUGGAGGUGUCCAUCUUUUGUUUGUGUUUUUAUUGUAUUUGGACAUUUUCUUAUGUAAUCUAUUGUGUUAUAAAUAAAGAAAACCCUUGACCAAAAAAAAAAAAAAUCUUCAUUUAUGGAGAGAUUUUUUUCAAGUAUUGAGUAGUCAAGUGAUAUUCCACAUAUCAUAAUACAAGUGGAGAAAAUGAUAAUUUUUUGUGUCACCCGCUUGAGACCGGUCAGUUUGGAAAAUUUCUCCCAUUCAUCCGCGUUGUAUCAACAACCUCCGACAAAUUUAAUUUGCCUCAUUUAAGAGCGAUUUCAAAAUAUGAAAUCAGAUAAUGCUGAAAUUAUGUAUAUAUUUAUUCCCUAAUCUAUCGGUAGGUGAAAUGGAGAGGUCGACAAGAGUUUCCUUGUGACUUGAAGGUUCAUUUGGCCAAUUACGUUGGUGGACAAUAAAAAGAUAACAAUAAUUACAGACUAUCAAAUGCAAUUUAGGUUUUCAAUUUUUGGUACAAGACUUGUUGCAUUUUGUUGGUCUAAGUUUCUUGUGGUGAUUCUUAAUUAGUUAGCUAGGUGAUAGAUGAUACAUAAUUAAUUAUGGGCUCGUUUAGAAGUGCUUAUAAAAUUGUUGAAAACGCUUUUAGGAAAAAAUAUUUUUGGAUUCCAAAAUCACUUGAAGUACUUUCUACAAGCAGCACAUAAUUAAUGGUAGCUAUGUAUCGCUUUACGUCGAAUGGAAUCUAGUAUUUGUGUAUAUUACAGAGAAACUUCCUUACACCGGUAAGGCCAUACCACCCGUUUUCACAUAAAAUGUGUGAUGACUUGAGUUACCGCUACAGUGUCAUACUUGGUGGUUGAAAACCCUUCAAAUAAAUUAUGGGUCUGUAGGUCGUAGGCCGAGUAGUGUGAUUAUUAUUGGGCCAAGCUUUCAUCAAACCCAACCUAUUGAGCCUACCUUAAAAUUUGUUAAUAUAAUUGGGCUAAAAGCCCAUCUCACCUCUUCGACCGUUCGACAUGGAGGGUUUAAGCCGAUUAAUACAAAAACAAAAUACAAACCAGGGAAACUGCUUAAACCCUAAAUCCCGAAAAAUGGAGGUGCAAUCAGUCUGUCGCGGGAUUCCCACUUCAAAUUUCGGUUUCUCCAACCACCGCAUACUCCCUGCUCAGAUCGUAAGCAAAUUUCUGAUUCAUAAUUACUUCCAAAUGAAAAUUUCUGUUUCAAUUUUGUCAACAUUGCCAUGUUUUUAAUUUAAUCACCGAUUUUUGUGCUGUUAAAUUCCUCAGGUUUUCGCAGGCCACGCCGGGCGGAGGGAUGAAAAGCUCCACCGUAGCGGAAUUUCUGCCAAAUGUACGCUCACUCUUCGCCUUAAUCUCAAUUUAUUUGGCUCGGAAUGUUUUCUUUCAUUUUUCUCAGCGGCCAAACAGGAGUUUCAUUUAUGUUUAAAGUAGGGCCUGUUUGGGAUUUUCUUCUGGGAAGGAUAACGUGCUCUGUGACGACCAAAAGUACUUUUGAUUACGUAUGGUAGAUAAACUUAAAAGUGCUUUUGAGUCAUAGAAGUGUUUAAUGGAGAAGUGAUUUUAGUAAACACUUAGUAAAAGUGCUUCAAAGUGGAAGUACUUUCUAUGGAAGCAGCCCCAAAUGGGCCCUUAGUCUUGCUUGUAACCAAACAAAAAAAAGUAUAUAGUCUUGCUUUUGUGUUUUAACUGGAAGAAUUGUUUCAGCAUAUUUGAACAGAGGAGCUAUUCAAUGUGUUUCAAAUUCUAGUCGGGAUGCGAAGUUGGAAUUCUCAGGUGGGGAUAGUUCUAAUGUUCCUGUUAAAAAAAUUGAUGGGGUGGAGCCUUUUCGGGGUAAAUCGGGUUCAAUUUCGUUCUACGGUUUGACACACCAGUUGGCAGAGGAAGGGAAAUUGAUUUCGGCCCCUUUUGAUGAAGAGAAGGGCUCGUUUAUUUGGUUUAUCGCCCCUGUUGCUUUGAUUUCAUCGUUGAUUCUUCCACAGUUCUUCAUUGGUAAUGCAGUUGAGGCCUUCUUGAAGGACGAGACUAUCGUAGGUAUUCACUGGACCAAGUUUUUGUUUAAUUUGAUUAGGUUUGGACUUUUACUCGUGUGAUAGUGGUUAACAAGUGCUUGAUUCUGAAAUGUAUGACAGCCGUUAGCAAAUGAUAUAAGUUGGUAGGAAUAAUUUGGUUUUAUAUGUGCCUGCACCAUACAACGUGAUUUUUGUUUCAGAAGAUAAAUCACAAUUUUUUGUCGGUGCCAUAGAGGAUAGUCUAGAUCGAUUCAUAGAUAGAUUUCUAUCCGGUAUCUCCAUGGGUAGAGAUAAAGAUAGGGAUCCAUCUAGAUCUUGAUUCACUAUUUCCUUUUUUUUUCUUGAUCCUGAUUGAUUGCCUUUUUGUGACGACAAGUUUUAAAUCUUAAUGCAGCCUGGAAACAUCUUACCGAAAGAUAGAUCCUAUUUUAUCAAUGAAUUGAUUUGCAGUGAUCCGAUAGAUAUUUUGAUAAGUAUAUUCGUCCAAUUUAUAGCAAAGAGCCUUUCUCUCCUGAUUUUGUAUCUAUUGAUGUUUAUGGGAAUGAAAGCUUUUUGGAGUUCGAUUUCAGUGGAUAAGUUGAAUUGUUUGGUGAAGUUUCUACUUGUAUGAAUCUUCUGUAUACCUAACACUUCAAUCUUGACUUUGAUAUCCACGUCCCUGUGGUUUUAUUUGCAUAGCAUAAAGCGGCUGCUAUGAUAUGUCUAUGCUUUACUCAGAAGAGAAAAUAAACUAAUAUUUAUUUUUCUUGCUAUGCAGAAAUUGUGACUUCAUUAUCGUACGAGGCUGUAUUUUAUGUGGGUCUUGCAAUAUUCCUGCUUGUAACCGAUAGAGUGCAAAGGCCCUAUCUGCAGUUCAGUCCAAAGAGAUGGGGUCUCAUUACCGGCCUAAGAGGAUACUUGACAUCUGCUUUCCUCACCACGGGAUUCAAAGUCAUGGCUCCUCUGUUUGCUGUUUAUGUAACCUGGCCACUGCUUGGCUUUCCGGCCUUGAUUUCUGUGAUUCCCUUUCUAGUUGGCUGUGUUGCUCAACUUGCAUUUGAGAUGGUUCUUGAAAAACGUCAGUCAUCUUGCUGGCCUCUAGUUCCCAUUAUUUUCGAGGUAGAUAUAGUUUAUUGAGAUCAAUUAAUGAUGUAUGUUUUGGAGUUGAAUCCAAAGCUUUUGGCAUCUAUUGGAAUUCUUCUGUUUCCUAAGCUGAUAUUUUGGCAUCUAUGUGCAGGUUUAUCGACUAUAUCAGUUGACAAAAGCUACUUCCUUUAUCCAGAAUUUGAUGUUUGCCAUGAACGGUCUUCCUACAUCCCCUGAACUGCUAGAAAAAAGCGGUGCACUAUUUGCUAUGAUGGUAACCUUCCGAGUUGUCAGCCUGGUGUGCCUCUGGUCACUGACGACAUUUCUUUUGAGGCUGUUUCCUUCCAGACCCGUUGCAGAGAAAUACUGAUGUUUUUAUCCGACGCUGUAUAUUCUGAUUCUGGGUUCUUUGCUCGUUUAAGUUGUGUGUAAACAUAAAUUUGAUCGUCCUUGUACUUGAUUCCGGUUUAAUUAGAUUUUAGUCUUGGACAAUCACGGUUGCGGGUGUUUUCUCUACCAGAUUUGUCGAAUUUUACUUGUAUGUUUCAAAUUUUGCCAAUAUAAAGAAGAUGAGGUUCAACUCCGCCUAUGUAAUUUUACAUUGCCGGUCCCAAGCCCGGAUAAAGGAGGAGGGGGAGGGCGUCAGGUAGUCGACAGCCGGCACUCCAUGAUCACGUCGAAUCCUUAUGAAAAUGAAUCCAGAACAAAAUCGCGCUAAAGCUAGGGCGUCACCCGUAAGUGGCGCGCUGUGUGGCCCGAGCACAGUGAUAAGUGAGCAAGGGUCGCUGUAUCUCCAUCGGCACCCGGAUGCAGUGUUAAAUGAGCAAGGGGGCCGUAGAAACUUCUUUUCGAACGACUCCACUCAAAGUUGUUUGGGAGCAUAUGCUCCUAUCAACUUUACACGGGACACACAAAAGAAGGUACUUUGAUCCUAUUAGACGGGGGAGGGUGAAGAAGCUAAGACAGAAGGGUAGAGUUCAAGAGAGCAAAAUGCGUUUAGGAACGUGGAAUAUAGGAACCUUAACGGGAAAAUCUAUGGAAGUAGUGGAAGUUAUGGUGAGGAGAAGGAUAAAUAUUAUGUGCCUACAAGAAACUAAGUGGGUUGGUAGUAAGGCAAAGGAUCUAGAAAACUCAGGGUUUAAACUUUGGUAUUCGGGCACAAAUAGAACGAGAAACGGUGUUGGCAUCAUCGUGGACAAGACCUUGACACAAGAUGUUGUAGAUGUCAAGAGGGUAGGAGAUAGAAUCAUGGCAAUCAAGAUUGUAAUAGGACAAGAACUUAUCAAUGUGAUUAGUGCGUACGCACCUCAAGUAGGGUUGGAUACGAGUUCGAAGGAGAAAUUUUGGGAAGACCUUGGAGACUUGGUGCAAGGAAUUGCUCAGACGGAGAAGUUAUUUAUAGGAGGAGAUCUAAAUGGACACGUGGGCAGGGAGACAGGCAACUAUGGAGGUUUUCAUGGUGGCCAUGGUUUUGGGGAGAGAAACGAGGAUGGGGAAGCUAUCUUGGAUUUUGCAAUGGCAUAUGAAUCUCUUCUUAGCCAACACCUUCUUUAAGAAGAGAGAAGAACAUGUGAUCACCUACAAGAGUGGGUCGUAAAAAACACAAAUAGAUUUUCUUCUAAUGAGGAAAGGGGAUCGUAUAACUUGUAAGGAUUGCAAAGUUAUACCAGAAGAGAGCGUGGCUAAUCAACAUCGCUUGUUGGUGAUGGAUGUACAUAUCAAAAGAGGGAGACAAAAGAACAAGACUUGGAAGUGCCCAAGGACUAGAUGGUGGAAUCUAAAAGAAGAAAAACAAGCCAUUUUCAAAGAGAAGGUAAUCACCCAAUGUGUGUGGGAUAGAGAGGGGGAAGCUAGCCAAAUGUGGGAUUCCAUGGCUAGUUGUAUCCGAAAAGUAGCAAAAGAGGUAUUAGGAGAGUCCAAGGGCUUUGCCCCACACCAAAAAGGAAUCUUGGUGGUGGAAUGAGGAGGUACAAACAAAGGUGAAGGCUAAGAAGGAAUGUUGUAAAGCCUUAUACAAGGAGAGGACCGAUGAAAAAUGGUGAAAGGUAUAGAAAAGCGAAGCAAGAGGCGAAGAAAGCGGUCAGAGAAGCUAAGUUAGCGGCUUACGACGAUAUGUAUAAACGACUAGAUACCAAAGAAGGAGAGUUGGAUAUCUAUAAACUAGCUAGAGCAAGGGAAAAGAAGACAAGGGACCUAAACCAAGUGAGGUGCAUCAAGGAUGAGGAUGGAAAGGUUCUUGCUACAGAGAACGCGGUUAAAGACAGAUGGAGAGGUUAUUUUCAUAAUCUUUUCAAUGAAGGACAUGAAAGGAGUGCUUCUUUAGGGGAGUUGAGUAACUCAGAAGAGUGUAGAAACUACUCUUUUUAUCGUCGAAUCCGGAAGGAAGAAGUGGUUGUAGCUUUGAAGAAGAUGAAGCAUAGAAAAGCAAUAGGCCCCAGACGAUAUAUACCAAUCGAAGUGUGGAAAGUUUUGGGAGAGACAGGUAUAACAUGGCUCACUGACCUUUUCAAUAGGAUUUUGAAAACGAAGAAGAUGCCAAAUGAGUGGCGAACGAGCACUUUGGUGCCUAUCUACAAGAAUAAGGGCGACGUACAAAAUUGCAUGAACUAUAGGGGUAUUAAGUUAAUGAGUCAUACAAUGAAGCUCUGGGAGAGAGUCAUUGAGCAUAGAUUGAGGCAAGAGACACGGGUUUCGGACAACCAAUUCGGGUUCAUGCCAGGCGCGCUCAACCAUGGAGGCAAUCUAUCUCUUACGAAGAUUGAUGGAAAGAUAUAGAGAUGGGAAAAAGGAUUUACACAUGGUCUUUAUAGAUUUGGAAAAAGCGUAUGAUAGGGUCCCAAGAGACAUUCUUUGGAGGAUCUUAGAGAAGAAAGGAGUACGAGUAGUAUAUAUCCAAGCUAUAAAGGAUAUGUAUGAAGGAGCAAAGACUGCCGUAAGAACUCAUGAAGGACAAACCGAAAGCUUUCCCAUAACUGUAGGAUUACAUCAAGGCUCAUCCUUAAGUCCUUACCUUUUUGCGUUGGUAAUGGAUGAGUUAACAGGACAUAUUCAAGAUGAUAUUCCUUGGUGUAUGCUUUUCGCAGACGAUAUAGUGUUGAUAGAUGAAACUCAGGAAGGGGUAAAUGCAAAGCUUAACCUUUGGAGAGAAGUGUUGGAAUCUAAAGGUCUUCGCCUAAGCCGAUCAAAGACAGAAUAUAUGGAGUGCAAGUUCAGUGCAGAUGGAGGCCAAAACGAGUUAGGGGUGAGGAUCGGAGAUCAAGAAAAUACCAAAGAGCGACCGUUUUCGUUACCUAGGAUCUAUCUUGCAAAAGAACGGAGAAUUAGAUGGAGAUCUCAACCAUAGAAUACAAGCUGGAUGGAUGAAGUGGAAGAGUGCAUCUGGCGUGUUGUGUGAUCGCCGUAUGCCACUGAAGCUCAAGGGAAAAUUUUAUAGGACGGCAAUAAGGCCGGCGAUGCUGUAUGGCACAGAAUGUUGGGCGGUGAAGCAUCAACACGUACACAAAAUGGGUGUAGCGGAGAUGAGGAUGCUUCGUUGGAUGUGUGGGCACACGAGAAAGGAUAAGAUUAAGAAUGAGGAUAUCCGGGGUAAAGUAGGAGUAGCCGAAAUUGAAGGAAAGAUGAGAGAAAAUCGGUUACGGUGGUUUGGACAUGUGCAAAGAAGGCCUACUGACGCUCCGAUUAGAAGAUGCGACUAUGGGACAGAGGUUCAGGGCCGAUGGGGUAGAGGAAGACCUAGGAAAACUUUGGAAGAGACUCUAAGAAAAGACUUAGAGUACUUGGAUCUAAUGAAGGACAUGACACAGGACCGAGCACAAUGGCGUUCUAAGAUUCAUAUAGCCGAUCCCACUCAGUGACUUGGAUUUUCCAAGUCUCCAACCGAGAAGUUUUCCUCACUCGAAAAAAUUAAGGGAACACUACCCCAACCUACAUGCUCCACUCAGAAAGCUUCAACAUACAAGCUUCAACAAAAGAAAAUUCAAAGAACUUAGCGAAGAAGACUUUGGUGUAUUUAACACAAUACGUUGAAAUGAAGAAAAACUUAUUUAUUGAUAUCCCCGAUAAGCUACAAAUAUGUACAUAUACAUGAGUCAAAAUAAACAAACAAGAUGGAGCCUUCACAAAGGUUGCUUAGGAGAAGUCUCAGCAGUCGGUAGAGCCCCAGAAAGAGAAGGCAUCGGAGGGGGAUCAUUCGGAGCCUCAGUACUGGACAGAACCCUAGAAGGAGGAGGCAUCAGAGGUUGAUCAUUUGGAGCUUCAUUGCGCGGUACAGCCCCAGAAGACGAAGGCAAUAAAUGCCUUUGGAACAAACCCACAAAUCUCUGAUGAUCAAGUAAAACCUGACCAUCAGUUUCCUUCAUCUGGUCAAGCUUCCUCUUCAUGUUUGUAGCAUAGUCAUGUGCGAGCCGGUGCAACUGUUUAUUCUCAUGCUUGAGCCCUCUAAUCUCCUGUUUGAGACUCAUCACUUCGGCCGCCAAUGAUUCAACUUGGCGGGUUCGAGCAAAUAGGCGUUGGGCCAUAUUAGACACGGAACCUGCACACUGAACACUGAGAGCCAGUGAAUCCUUAACAGCUAACUCAUCAGACCGUUUGGAAAGUAGUCUGUUAUCUUUGGGAGUGAGAAGGUUCCUGGCCACCACCGCAGCGGUCAUAUCAUUCUUCAUCACGGAAUCCCCAAUGGUAAGAGGACCAGUAGGGGAGACGAAGGAUGGGCGCCAUAUGUUGUCUGGAGAAGGCGGGGCUGCCUCUUCAACAAGGUUCAAGUCAAAACGACGGUCGGAGGGGCCAGACAUUUUCAAAGGUAUUGAAGAGAGAAGAGGUCGGACAAAUCAAGAUCUUAGAAGUGCAAGAAUGGAGCUUCUACUGGUGGAGAUUCAAGUGUGCUUUGGAACUUAAUGCCAGCCCCUAUAAAAAGCUGCACUCGACGGAGCUUCAGACAUCGAAGAGGCGCCUGCUCAGAAAUCGAAGAGGCGUUUGCUUUCUCAAAAACUGGGCUGCUUAGAGACCACGAGGAUUGAUCUCAUAAAUUGAAGAGGUGUUUGCUUUCUCAAAAGUUGGGCUGCUCAAAGACCACGAAAGCCGAUCUCAGAAAUCGAAGAGGCGCUCGCUUCCUCAAAAGCUUGGCUCCUCAGAGACCACGAGGGCCGAUCUCAGAAAUCGAAGAGGCACCUACUUUUCCAGCCUUGUCAGCACCUGUCACACGCACACUCAGCUUUGCGGAAAUUAUGGGUAUUCUGUCGAAGACUUCUGGGGAAGUAGAAAACACAUGAAUCUUACUGUCCAAUCACCCACUUUCCACACGCAGCAAUAGCUCAUGGGUACCACAGAUAACUUUGCCAAAGUUCUCUGCCAAAGUUGAGCACGUGAAGCUUGCAGCUCCCACUACAUCGCUCUGACCAAGAAGGGUAAAAGAAUAGCAAAGAAACAGCACUAACAAAGUUUAAACCCAUAAAUUUUGAAGGUCUAGCUACCAUAUUAUUACCCACAAGGGUAAAGGAACAGUACCACUGUUGGAUAAUUGGAAAGUCCCUGUGUGUCAACCUCUGUGCCUCGUGGCAAGGUAGACUAGCAAACAUGCCCAACCUUUACUCACGUUCGAGAAAACACUCCCAAUAAGAUUGCUUGCUCCAAAAUUGAAGAGGCACCGUCCUCCGAAUCUCGAGAGCCAGACUCCCAACAUGACUACUUUCUCAAAAAUCGAAGAGAGGGUAAAGGAACAGUACCAUUGCUGGAUAAUUGGAAAGUCCCUGUGUGUCAACCUCUGUGCUUCGUGGCAAGGUAGACUAGCAAACAUGCCCAACCUUUACUCACAUUCGAGAAAACACUCCCAACAAGUUUCUUGUUCCAAAAUCGAAGAGGCACCGCCCUCCGAAUCUUGAGAGCCAGACUCCCAACAUGAUUACUUUCUCAAAAAUCGAAGAGACACUGCUCCCCGAAUCUCGAGAGCCAGACCCCCAGCAUGAUUGCUUUCUCAAAAAUCGAAGAGGCAUCGUUCUCCGAAUCAAUCGAAGAGGCGCUCGCUUUCUCAAAAGCUGGGUUGCUCAGAGACCACGAGGGCCGAUCUCAGAAAUCGAAGAGGCACCUUCUUUUCUAGCCUUGUCAGCACCUGUCACACGCACACUCAGCUUUGCGGAAAUUAUGGGCAUUCUGUCGAAGACUUCUGGUGAAGUAGAAAGCACAUGAAUCUUACUGUUCAAUCACCCACUUCCCACACGCAACAAUAGCUCAUGGGUACCACAGAUAACUUUGUCAAAGUCUCUGCCAAAGUUGAGCACGUGAAGCUUGCAGCUCCCACUACAUCGCUCUGACCAAGAAAGGUAAAAGAAUAGCAAAGAAACAGCACUAACAAAGUUUAGACACAUAAAUUUUGAAGGUCUAGCUACCAUAUUAUUACCCACAAGGGUAAAGGAACAGUACCACUGCUGGAUAAUUGGAAAGUCCCUGUGUGUCAACCUCCGUGCUUCGUGGCAAGGUAGACUAGCAAACAUGCCCAACCUUUACUCACAUCCGAGAAAACACUUCCAACAAGAUUGCUUACUCCAAAAUCGAAGAGGCGCCUUCCGAAUCUCGAGAGCCAGACUCCCAACAUGAUUACUUUCUCAAAAAUCGAAGAGACACUGCUCCCCGAAUCUCGAGAGCCAGACCCCCACCAGGAUUGCUUUCUCAAAAAUCGAAGAAGCAUCGUUCUCCGAAUCUCGAGAGCCAGAUACCACAUACCACUUUUUCAAAGUGCUCUGACAGAGUUAAAACAUGUGAAGCUGGCAGCUCCCACUACCGUGCUAUGACCAAGCAGGGUAAAGGAAUAGCAUUACUACUUGUUGUUAGGGAGACUCCUAUAUAUGUCGACCUCCAUCCCCAACGGACAGGCAGACCUGCAAAAAUGCUCAACCCUUCCUCAUAUCUGAGAGGGCACUCCCAACGAAGCCUUUCGAAAUAUUCAGCUUUCUUUCCCCCCGAUAAUACCUCUGCAAACAAGCUAUACUAGAGCAAGAAUAUCUCAUAUCAUCAGGGUUAAAAGCAAGAGUAUCCCAUAUCAUGCUUUUUCCCUGUCUUUUCCUUUGGCCUUGUUUUUACCUGCAAGACAAGGAGAAAGAGAGCAAUCAGUCAGCACUUGAAAUCAAGCUCCCAGCCAGGAACUGACAGCCUGGAACCCCUUACCUGAUUACUUACCUGGCAUUGCUCUCGAGUACUCAUCUUCAACAUCUUAUGUUGCCAGGGAAGAUACCGCAUCUGCUUGAGGAACAGAUAGGGCAAGUGCGAAGGAUACAAGGAAGCAUGUGGAGACAAGCGUAACAGCACACGUGCCGAUCCAUCCAUUACUCUGUCAAAAGCAAAAGUAUCCCAUAUCAGCAGGGUCGAACGUACUCUAGAUUUGAUGAACUUGUUUUGACCCUCAAAUUCUUCAGUCGGCCUUAUACUCUGGAGGAAACCAGAAAACCCUCCAGCUCAGUUCAAGAAUAAGCCUGUGGAAAGUUACUUCUUCAAAAGCAAAAGUAUCCCAUAUCAUCUCUUCUCAUUUUUCUUCUCUUUAUCCUUCAUGGUGCUGCAAGAUGGGGAGAAGGUGAACAAUCAGCCGGAGCUCUGAUUGCUUACCUUGUCUGUCACCUCUUUCAGCAAAUCCCCUAGCUCGGCGACUUGGGGGACUCCUACUACAUGGUUUGUAUCGCGCUUGACCAAGCCUGAAACUACAAGUAAGCUUCAAGUGAAAUUGAUACAUUACCUUGUGCAUCUCCACCAGUUAAAGAUACCACCCCUGGAUGGAGGAAGAGUACUUCCAGAGAAGCUGCCACAUCUACCUAUGAGACAGAUAAGGCAAGUCAAGAUGAUACCACACUCCGAUACUUAGAAGUUUCGUGAUUACGAGAUCAUUCUCCCACAAUAUUUCCUAAUGUCAUUUGUACUCUAAUGUCAUUUGUACUAAAUCAUUCACUUGUACUCACUAAAGGAGAGCUUGAACCUAUGUACUUGUGUAAACCCUUCACAAUUAAUGAGAACUCUUCUAUUCCGUGGACGUAGCCAAUCUGGGUGAACCACGUACAUCUUGUGUUUGCUUUCCUAUCUCUAUCCAUUUAUAUACUUAUCCACACUAAUGACCGGAGCAAUUUAGCGAAGAUCACAAAAAGCGACCGUUUUCGCUACCUAGGAUCUAUCUUACAAGAGAACGGAGAAUUAGAUGGAGAUCUCAACCAUAGAAUACGAGCUGGAUGGAUGAAGUGUAAGAGUGCAUCCAGCAUGUUGUGUGACCGUCGUAGGCCACUGAAGCUCAAGGGAAUGUUGGGCGGUGAAACAUCAACACGUACACAAAAUGGGUGUAGCAGAGAUGAGGAUGCUUCGUGGGAUGUGUGGGCACACGAGAAAGGAUAAGAUUGAGAAUGAGGAUAUCCGAGGUAAAGUAGGAGUAGCCGAAAUUGAAGGAAAGAUGAGAGAAAUUCGGUUCCGGUGAUUUGGACAUGUGCAAAGAAGGCCGACUGACGCUCCGGUUCGAAGAUGUGACUACGGGACAGAGGUUCAGGGCCGAAGGGGUAGAGGAAGACCUAGGAAAACUUUGGAAGAGACUCUAAGAAAAGGCUUAGAGUACUUGGAUCUAACGGAGGACAUGACAAAAAACCGAGCGCAAUGGCGUUCUAGGAUUCAUAUAGCCGACCCCACUUAGUGGGAAAAGGCUUUGUUGUUGUUGUUGUUGAAAGAAGAUGAGGUUCAAUCUAAGUCGAUUGCAGGUUCAAGCAACGGAAUUGGUCAAGUGUCUAAGUGAGUGUGACUGCAUUAAGGUUGAGAAGCGGUCUUAUAGGGAGUGCGCUGGGGAAAAGAGUCCAUUAAUAUCAAGCGAAUGUAUUGGUCUGAUGGAAAAGUAUUUCAAUUGCAAAAGAGGGCGGGUUGACAUGAGGGCUAGGAUUCGGGGGAAUAAAGGCUAUUGAGCAACGGUAACGUUUACCAAGUUCUGAAACAAAGUUUUGUACUUCAAUUAAAGCUUACAUUAAUAAAUUUUUAGAGAUUCUCCUAUGAUUGGAUUUGAGUAAUUUUGGACGUUAACUUUGGUGACUCUGGUUUAUCUCGUAUUUGAUUUCCUGCUUUUGUUGUUACAACAGUGAAUAGUGUUUAUUGUGUAGUUUUAGUCCAAAUGAUGUAAGUCUUGGCUUAUAGGCAACUGGCAUGCUUCUUUCGGGCUAUGCAUGGUUUGCUUGCUUGUCUGCGCUGUUCCCCUCUCCGGCGUCUCCGCCUUAUUUCUGGUUCCUUUUUGUGUUUCCACAACUGCAAAUGCAUCUGUUGUGAUUUUCUUAUGUUCCGUAUGGCACUGGGCGGCAUGUCAUGGAAUGCAUUGAGGUGAGAGUCGUAUUCGCAACUUUUACUUGUGCUCGGGCCUUAAGCUCCAGGUAACGUUAUAAAAGAUUUACCGCCGGUAAUUUUCAGAAUGUUCUGAAGGCAGAGCCGCAGACGGGUAAUUUUCUGGCUGUCUGUUUCAUGUGGCGCUGAGACUUUCCACGUAACCUCUUUCUUUCCGUUGCUUUUGCUUCGUCUUUUUGCGCGCAUGGUCCGCCUACUGUUCCAUCCACCAAAAGCCGAAAGCCGAAAGCCCAAAAGCACAAGUCGAAACCCACAACACAAGCAAAUGGAAUAUGAAACACGAGAAAAUUUCCAUCCGACUUGCAUCGUGCCUUCUAAUUCCAAAUUUCCAAGUUCCACAAGCCGUCGAGGGAGAAAAUAUCCUCGUUCCUAAAUUCCCAGCGAGAAAAUUAUCCCACGAAACAUGGUCCACACGUGUCCGGUCCCCUCGAAUCGGAGUGGUGCCCACACGCAGAGCACUUGCCGACGGUGAGCCAUUACAUUAUAGUCUUUGACUGGUUUUGGUACGUCCAAAUUGUUGGGGAAGAAUUCAAAGUUCAAAACCAACCUGGCCAAGUAAUAGGCAAAAAGCGAAAUGGUUACUCCAUGCAAAGACAAAGACCAGCUAAGAUGCCACGAAUCUUCUGUUUUCCUUCACACCACGAACCACACUAGCUACAAACUUAUAUAUAAACCCCACCAAAACCAACCAGAAAGUUUCAGUGGUGUUAUCAAAGGGAGCAAUGGCAGCCACUAGAUUAAUGCGCACGUUUAAGCCAAUGACUUUUCAUUCCUCCUCUUCUUCUUCAUCUUCUCCGCCAUCAACGGCCCUGAAGUGUUUGAGCAAGGGCAGAAGAAUAAACGGAGAGAAGGGACUUACUAGGAACGAUAAUGAUAGUCACGAGAGGAAGCAAAUGCAUGCAGUAGCUGUGAAGGCGUCGGCAACCACGUUGGCAGAACCACAAGUCGAGAAUCGGGGAGGAUUACUCGUAGAAUUGGCUUCCCUGGUCGGAAGGGCCAACCGUGCUUUGCCCAUUCUACUGAGAACGGCUCUCAGACCAAAGUCUUUGAGACAGCAAGUCCAGAUGUUCAUUGAAAGGGUAAAUACGUCCGUUACAUGCAUGUUUUCAUUUGUCAAAAGUUGUUUAAUUUUAUGUGGUGAUCUAGGGUAAAAAUUUUGAAUGAGUUAGUUAUACAUACUUCAUUUGUGCAGGGGAUAAUAGACUGUCGAUUCUUUACAUUACUUGCAGUUGCGGGAUCUUUACUCGGUUCAGUACUGUGCUUUGUAGAGGUGAAAUUUCCAUUUUCCCUUUUUAUUUGAUUACAUUGAAGGGAAUCGAACAUCAAAACUAGUUUAGCAUAAUCAACACGUGCUUAUGUUCAACGUUUAUAUGAAUGCAGGGUUGCUUUAUUGUUCUAGAGUCAUAUUUCCAGUAUUUCCAUGCCUUGUCACACAAGACGGAUCAAGGCCAUAUGGUGCAUCUUCUUAUUGAAGCCAUUGGUAAGUAAAGCACCCACAUCUACAUGUGAUAUUCAUCCUAAUUAUGCCUAAUUAUAUUUGACUAUGAUUAAUUCUUGUAAUUUACAGAUAUGUUCCUGGUAGGAACCGCCAUGCUUAUUUUCGCAAUUUCCGUAUGUUUUGUAUGGCCUUGCUUUCGAAUAUUUUUUCUGUCUGCGCGAGCUGCAUUUGAUUCCGUCAGUGUGUGCCCGGCUCGCGAGAGAGAUAAUGUAUUGAUUUUAAGCUGGAUUUGAAAUUACUCGAAACUUCAAACCAAUGUUGUCAAUUCUUUCUACAUUCAGUGUGCAACACGAAGCUUUUCGAGCUCACGUCUGUAAUUACAAAAUGACAUGGGAAGUAAGGUAAAUUUGAGAUCUUAUUGCUAAUAUUUAUCCUUAACGAGGAGAAACAGUUUGAGUUAUCUAGAUUGUCGCACGGUAAAUAAGUAUAAAACAUAUUUACUUUAUUCAUCACCGUCCACCAUUUGCGGUGAGAAACAUAGCAUGCAACUAGUUUUAGCACGAGUUUAUCGAUAAUGCAAGGACAAUAUCAAGGAAGCAUGCAUGGACUAGUUUAUAUUGAUACUCGAAUUUUUUCAUCGAAAAUUUUUGUGUUUGGGCCUACCCGAUAAUUGGCAAUCGGGAUAUAAUCCUGGAGAAAUAAGUUUUCAAUGAGCACCCCUUGAAUUAAGUGGAAUUCACCCGUGAAUGUGAUACCGCUCCAGAAUCUCAAUGCUGCUAAAUGCUUGCUGGAUCGUAUCGUGCUUCUUUUAUCCCUCUGCUGCAAUGAUUAAUUUGCAUUGUCGUUUCACACAAACAUAUCUUCGCUUUAAGUCUUCGCAGCUUAUCUAUAAAUGACUUAUGCCGCGGCUGGCUAUACCAACUUCUUAGUUAAUUAUCACCUAAUACAAUGUAUAUCUAUUACUAGACCACACUGACACCUAAAGUUUGAUGUCCACCAAACAAAGACUGCAUUGUGAGAGAAUUAUUAAUAAUUGAGAGAGCCCACAAAUUUAUUAAUUUGAGAAGAUUACUAGAUCACCAAUACUAUAUGCCCAAUGCAUUUCCGAUUAUCCGAAAUUUAUGGCAUAUUACUUUAGAGUCUGAAUAAAUAAUCCAUAUCUAUACUGAGCAAACAGAAAAUAAGAAUUAAGAGUAUCAUUCAGCCAUCCUGCUCAGGAAAUGGAAGUUUCAAAGAUCAAAAGAAAUAUUUGUCAAAAGAUUUUUCAUAUACCAUAUUUAAUAAGUCACAUUGAGUUUUAAUUCAAUUUUUAAAUCGAUAAUCAGGUUUUGAUGGUAUCAGAUAAAAAUAUUCAAUGUAUUAUUGUUCCAUUUAAUAACGAUAAUUUCUGCAUAAUUGAAAUUUCUAUUAUAGUUUAAUUCCCGUUUGUUGGAAACCAUAACCUCAUUGAUAUUUUUCGCGUAAUUAUCGAGCGUUAUUUCUUUAUCAUAUCCUAGUAAUAUAACUUAGUUGGGAUUAACUUAUUUCUAUUUGCUUUCUGAGUAGCACAAUAUCUAGCCUAUGAACUUUAUGGAAUGGAUUCUGGUGAGUGACGCUAUUAAUUCUCUAAUUGCACACAAUUGAUAGUCUAUGUUUUUAAUCGAUUUUUUGCUUUGAUUUUGUCUCGAGCUUAUAUUUUACACUAAUAAAAUACGUUGUAAAUUUUACUAUAUCAAUGUCAUAUCAAUGUAUUGCUGCUACCGGUAAAAAUAAUAAAUGUGAGUGGAGAUACUACAGAUCACUUGACAAUUAGAGACACAUAUGAAGGUGUCGAGUCCUUAGAUAGCAUUAGAUAUAAAAUCACACAUGUAGAACGAGAAACCAGAAGACACAUAAAAGGGAGGGAAUAAAACACAUUGUCUAUACCUUUUACUAAAAGUCAAGACCAGGUUGAUCACCUAAUACUUAUAAUUACUCGUGCCAAUUGGGCCAACUCCGGUCAAAGUACAUACAGCAAGAUUUCGUUGCUAAACUAAUAAAAGCCAUCCUCUGACAAUAACAUGAGUCUCGUUCCACUGGAAACUAGUAUGUGGCUGAGCACAUAUAUCUAACUAUUAGAAUUCCGAAGUCACUUGAUACACAUUAAUACAACUGAGCAUGGCACAGUAAGAAAAGCAUCGAGUUGAAACACAAACAAGGGUUCAGAUUCCAAGAACUCAGCAUACUUCCCCCACCAUGAAUUCUAACACACUCAACCGCCACAAGGGGUAACUGCGGACACCACUAUGGUGAUUAUGCUUGUCUUACACCAGAAGGUAAACAGACUAAACGGCGAGUCCCGAUACAACAAGAGUUCACUCCAAUACGAUCCCACAAUUCUAGUUGAAAAAGUAAAGUAUCAGCCACCCGACGAGCGCCAACGCUAACUACGAACAUCAAACACAGAGCUUCUGUAACUCCGAGCAUUCUUUGAGAAGAGUGAAAUUUGCAGAGCGCCGCGCGUCAAUCCUCUCCGUAUGGCUCGCGAGACACAAACUGCGUGCCGCAGGAGCAACGAUGCCAACAAGUAUGAACUGCAAUCAACACUCAUCCUUGUCUUGAGGCACUAAUAAGUGACCUGGCUAUAUAUUGAGGCAAUGAGCACACACGCAGGAGUACGAGUGUAUCAAGCUAUACAAAUAUACUUGUUUAGCCAGGAAGGCCUCGAUAAUGAACUCUUGAGCUCAAGAGACACCAGAGAAAUAAGCACAUCGAGUGUUUUCGAACUUCAGGAAUUACUUGUAUAGUUAUUUUGAUUCUCAUGUUGCAACCUAUUGAUAUAUAACCCCAUAUGCUUUGUAUAUUCUGUUUGAGAGAGAACCUCAUUUUGAGUUUGGUUUGCGCUCAAAUCGGGUUCAAUAAUUAAAGCUCCAAUUUUGUAGACUACCAAUAUUUAUAUGUAUAUCUGUUGCUCCGAGAGUAAUGUUGGUUCUUUGCCUUCUUUCUUGCGCACGCGUCGUAUUCUUCCAAAGUAACCACAAAAAAUUUACCACGGUUCUAAUAAUAUCAAUAGUGCAAUGAACAGUGUUCUUUUGGAAAUUCCGCUAGAGACGAUAAAACAUGUCCCGAACCAACUUUGGAACUCAGCAAUAUGUUGUGUGCUGUCUGAACAUGAGUUGGGAUAGUAACAAUACCAUAUCUUUUGUUGAGACCGAUCUUAUCUGACGCGAGAUCAAAAGGAGGAAAAAUGUAAGUUUGGCAUUUUCGCGGUACCCCGGAACUUGAUAAGGUGUGAAGGUCUUAACAUUGAGAGAGUUGCGAAGAAAACGAGAAAAGAAAGCACAAUGGCAUUGGGUCCACUGUUCCUGGUUGUGAUAAUUGCAGAUGAUUCAUGAGAGUUUUGAGGCGAGCUCACUAAACUAUACUUAUUAUGAAUCGAGUUUCCUGCCCUUUGUAGAGUGACAGAUCAACAUAUCAUAACACUCUUUAUGAUUGGAACUUUUUGGCUUUCUUCUCCCUCGAAGAAGUCUCUCAGUCACAUCCGGUGUCGUACUACACGUGAGGGACUUGUGUUUGGCCAAGAUUGGUGGGAUGCCUUCUCGCUUUUAUCAGAGACGAAAUCAGAGAUAAAGAGAAGCCUCUCCGAGAAGGGCAAUAUAUGAAUUGGAGGAGUUAUUGAAUCAUUCAUACCCUAGAUAUAUCUAAGAGACCAACUUCCAUCUGACCCAUUGCGCAUGACGCGAACCCAUAGAAAUUCAGAAUAAUAAAAACUAAGUGAUGCUUGUAUGUUGGUGGAUAUCCUCACAAUCUUCUAUGAACCAUCUUCCCCAACAAAACCUUAGAAUCUAGUUGACUGAGCACAAGCAUUGCUACCUAGCAAUCCGUGCUGACAGUUGCGAAGACUUUCUUUGUGUGCAUCUGGAUUAUGCCUUGGAGAGUGCGGGGACUUGCCGAUACCAAUUAUCGUAGUCUAGGCGAUCGUCCAAUGAUAGUCAAAUAUAUUAUACAUUAGUCAACAUCACAAACACCUCCGGAGGAAUGGGAAAAAUGCAUGCUAAACAUUACAGAGUAGAGCCAAAACACACGGAACACGCGAGAUUCGGCAUUAAUAGAUUUAUGUUCUAGACCAGCAUAUCCUCUUUCCUUUUCAUUUCCGAACAUAUAGUAGGCUUGAGGUGCGCGUAUAGCAGAGGUAUACUGAUCCAAGCCAACGUUGGUAGAUUCGUUCACUCAACAAAAAAAGGUCUCCAAGAUUUUCGGUUGUGCAAGCUGUCAUCUGAACAACACUCUUUGUAUAAGGUUCUUCGGGACAGUAGUCCGCGACCCUAAACAAUCCCGACUUCUCAGCCUUUUGCCUGAAUCCGCAACAGUCCAGGCAAUGGCAGAGAUCAAUCCAGUGACACGGACGAUGGGCAAGGGUGCUGCAACGAGUGACGGGCCAUUUCACGGAGUUACAGAAUAACACUGUCUUUCCCGAGAAAAUGAAGGAUGGUAAGGCAAGGCAACGAAACAUCAUCAGUUCCUGACGCAUCAGCAUUAAAUGAGGGCCCAGCACGGCGUAGACGUUUGACUAUAUUUUGGACGGAUAGGCAGGACACGCAACGGACUGCCGAGGCAGAGUGCGGGUUGGAAAAAUGGAUCCAAUCUCUGCAUGCUAAUAGACCGAAUGUGAACGGUAAUGAUAGAUGCAAGUAUCGUUCAUAACUAAAGGAAGUGCUUAUACUCUUCUCAUGGAUAGUCACUAUGAUCCAUUGAAGAUUUUUCAAUCCGGACUAAUUGUCAGAGCGCGACUCAAAGGGUAGUCCAACUGACCGUUGUUGGUUAGAAUUAUCCAAUUAAUCCGGACGCUCAAGAACAUAGCGUUGGGCUCCUGAGCUGACUUGUGAUGAGGGCAGAAGUAUGGACCUUUUUCGUCGACAGGAAUAAGAUAGUAUGGGGAUCAUUGGUCUUCGUAAAAGCAAACAUGGAGGACGGUCAUUGAUCGUGUGCUAACGGUGUAAUAACGCUCUGCACCCUAUCCGUACGACAUUUGACCUUGACAAUGAUGGACUAAACCCCACAAAAAUGAUGACAGUGGCAGUUUGUGUUCAUCUAAACAAGCUAAGUCCUCAAUUGCCUGCCCGAAUUUGCUUAAUACUCAAAAAGAAGAAUCGGAAAACUUUCAUCAAAAUAUUGACAUUAUAUUAGUGCCAAAAAUGACUAUAUUUCAUGCAAAGCGUGCCAGUGUUAGUGAUAUCCGUACAAUCGCAAUCUUACAAAAAACUGAGACCAACAGAGAUACUUCCUUCAACAAUGCUGAAAAAUCAAUAACUUUUGCGUCUUUAGCUGUUUACUUGUCUUUAACGGGAGUUUUCAUACCAUACCAAUAUAUAGUCUGAACACCACGCAUACGGUCGUUGAGUCUACUGGGUGAGGGAUAUUUGAGCUUAAGCCGCACCAAAGUAUGAAACAAAACAAUUCUUAUCAUCUUCUCUUCAUGAUGACAUCCAGUUGCAACGUGACGCAUGUGGAGAUGAAGGCAUGAUAGGGGCUGGGCAGCAAAUCAAUUGGCAUAUUCAUUUCCAACAAAGAGCAACAAGUAAAAGAGAAGAUACUUUCGUGGAGUAAGGAUCUUACAAUUAAGGUUAAAUGGCAAAGGUACAAUCCAUACGGUAAUCCUUGCCGGCACCAUUUGUGUUCUUCGGGCCGACAAGGGAUCCAACUCAAAGCCAAUUUGUGCAAAUGCAGAAAACUAAUUCGUAAUAGUAGCCCGAAAAAAAUCAGCAACUUUCAGAGUUCGGCAAAGUUAAUUCACGCUAUGAAAAAUUCCUACAGGCUAAAGUAAAGGCCAUAUUCUAGUAGAGCAAUGUGGUGGGCCAAGUCAUGUGGUUCGACCGUUGAGUGUAGGCAGGCAUAUAUGCUCAAUCGGGGUGUAAUACGGUUCGUAAGACAGAUAGGGCUAUCGUGAAUCACACCACCCUAUAAAUAGGCUGUGUGGAAAAUAUGUGUUGGUACUGUUUCAGAAAGAGUGGGAAAUCAUUGUAGAAGUUAAGAGUAAGUAAGGCAUAGACAAUCGCAAAGAAUAGACCGAAGAGCUAAGAAGAAUGUCAGAAGUCUUUGAGUAAGUCUUUUUGUUUCUGUGUAACAUUCACAGUUUUGGGUCCUGGAGUAGAAGGACUGUAUGACAAUAUGCAGGAAGAAAUAAUGCGAAACAUAGGAUUUCAGUAACAAGCUAAUUUGUAUUCUUUGUCUGUUCUUGGAUGAGUUAGGCCUUCUUUCACUAUCUAAAUGAAGAAAGUACAAACGUAAAGGCCACUAAUCGGAUCAGAAUAAGUCAGGAAAGCGCGCUGUAUAAAAAGCGAAUCCGUCUAAUCCUUAGGCGAUUUAAUUAGCGAUCAUAUCUUCUUGUGUGGAGCAUAAACAUUCUCCAAAGUAAUGAAGCAAGUCAUAAUCUCGUAAAGACAGAAAUACGCGCUCAACUACACCUAUGGCGGAACUAUCACUGCCAUCGUGUACCUAUAAUUCGCUUAGUUAAGGGCCAGCCAUAAAUCCGGGAUCGUUUCUUAAAUGGACUCUAAGUGAGCAUGUUUACUACCUCUAUUCCUUCUCAAAAGAGAGGUUAGCGGGCGGCGGGAUUGUAUUCAUUUACAGUAAAGCCUAACUGGUCAGGUGUGGUUGCAUCGGAUGUUGUCUCUGUCUAAGGAAGGACAUUCGUUUAUACUCUCAACUGGACGAAGAAAGAACUAACGCAAGGCAUGGAUAACUUACAAUCCUGCUGUCCUCAUCGGUCAUCUUCGCUUCUUCCCAGAGCAUAUCAAAGGCCAGUGUCUUGUCGGUGGGACCGGUCAGAAAGAUCCAACUAAACAGAGUUUACAAGCAUCUUUGGCGCCGCACUUAUUUGUAAUUUUUUUGAACAAGAUUCAAUGCCAUUACAUCUGAAUAAUGCGAGUAAACCAAAAGGGAUUAAGAAAUUUACGGUAUUAAUGUAAGUAGUAAUGUUAAAAAUGGUCGCCUUCUAAGGCCUUUACAAAGAUUUCAAUAAUUACAUAUAUUUAAAUGUACAGAAUUGAUGUGUACGCAAUAUUGGUACUGGAACGGUAUGCAAUGGACAAACAAGUAUACAAAAUGCGCGUACGGUAUAGGCCAGGCCUUUUGGGUUUCUUGUUAUUUCUUUUUUUUCAUAUAAACCAGUCAAGAGAAGAGAGCUGAAUAUGGCCCGUUGGGUGUGGUUAAGGAAAACACAGAUCAAAAACAUUUAACUGAAUGUUCUUAGAUAUAACAAAAAAGGGUUCCGGAAAGACCAUAAAAGACAAAUCACUUCUCCUUUUUUUUUACCCAAAAAAUAUCAGGACAAUCUAAUUAGCAGGGUUUAUUUUUAUUUUUAUUUUUUUCAAACCAUAGAUUUUAUUAGAUUAGAUGUUAGAUUAGACCCCAUACAUCCAUCGAUUUUCAUUUUCCAAGAUUUAAUCUUUUUAUUUCGUUAUUUUCUUUAUUUUUCCUCCUCUUUAAUUUUCCUCCUUUUCUAUUCUUUUCCUCUUCGUAUUGACUUAGGUCCGCACUAGAAGCGGACAGGUUUUUUUUGUUUUUUUUUUUUUUUUUUUUUUUUUUUUUGCUUUUUUUUUUUUUUUUUGUUUUUUUUUUUUUUUUUUUUUUUUUUUUUUUUUUUUUUUUUUUUUUUUUUUUUUUUUUUUUUUUGUUUUUUUUUUUCAGCGGUGGGGGUUCUUUUCUUUUUAUUUUUUUUUUUUUAUUUUUUUUUUCGCGGUGGGGGUGGGGGAGUCGUCAAGUAGGGUUCGGCGGGGUUUAGGAGGAGGAGGUGGUCACUCCGAUUUGGGAUCUUGGAAAGGAGGAGGGAAGGGGGCUGCUUUCCAUCCUUUUGUAAAAGAACCUCCGGUGACUCGGUUUCCAUCCUACACCCACGGGCCACAGCUCUCUCUCUUGACUGAUGAAAAAUUCAACCCCCUGGCCUCCACGCGCAUUGUUAGUCCUAGGACACAUCAAUUUGUACAUAAUUUGUUCUAAUUUGGUGAGAUUUUUAACAUUUAAUUUGUAAAUUUGUAGUUACGGCAUAUUGUAGCCUUGUCAAAACAAAAUAGUGCAUGCCUUGUGAAACUCUGUGUUAGUUCUUCUCGUCCCACCGAUCCUGAAUCCGGGGUGUGACAUGCCUCGUGUUAGUUCUUCUCGUUCCAGUUAAGAGACGAGCUUCCUAGCCGAUCACCUGAAGUAGCUUGACUUGUUUAUAUACAAAAGGGUAAAUACUCACUCUAGAGUCUAGACUCGAUCGGCUUUCUACAAAAGUGUACACAUCCGGACCAAGUUCAUACGGUUAUUCGUCAUUCGGAUUUCUGAUGACCAAUUCAUCUGAUAGCGAUCUUUAUAUCGGUUUCCUGACUCUGACCGAUGGCUUCGUGUACUUUCUUCUUCAUGUGAAGCCUCUCCAUCCGAGACAAGAAAAUGCUGCAGUUCGCUCUCUGCACAUUUGUCAAGCCUCUCCAGACCAAACUCUGCGUGGCCUUGCGAAUGCUCGAACAACCGCACCUUCAAACGCCCAUUUUCGGGGAUGAAGUAGCCGUACGCAUAAGUCCAUCACAAUACCUGCCUACACUCAACGGUCCGUGCCCACACAUCUAUAAUGAACCUGAGCAUACAAUCUUGACUGGCAUUGUGUGCCGGCAAGUUUCGUGAUCUGUACGCUUUGCACGUUAUGUAAAUCCUCGAUUGCUUUUUGCUUUGAAGAUUGAUUGUUUGCCUAUCGUUCAUCAAUGUGGGAUUCAUCAUGAGAGAAGAUUGAUAAGAAUUGUUGUUGUUCAUACUUGUGCGGCUAAGCCAAAAUCCCUCACCCCUUCGUAUAAAUAUAUCGUUGUAUAUACAGUAAACAAAACCAAAAGUAUUGGAUUUAGCAUUUAUUCUCAGUUUUUGUAGAUUCAGAGAACAACACGAAGCUUAAAGUAGCACAUAAUCAAAGAGUUCAUCUUCUUUGAUUAAAAUUCAGCAGGCAAUGGAGACUCUGAAGAACACAUAACACACAUGGUAGCAGAACUGUCAUUGACAUAGGUGCAGAGAUCACAAGACCAAUAAUCCCCAUACGAUCUUAUCUCCGAAAGGUCAUUUUCCAUAGCUCGCACCAAGUUCUUGAAGUAAUUCCUAACCACAACGGUCAGUUGGACUACCCUAGCCCGAAAUUUGAUGAAAUCUUCAAUGGAUCUAUCUGCGUUGACAUGCUCUUCUAGUUCCACUUCUGCACAUCGAUGGAACUUUUCCAACCCGCACUCUGCCUCGCCUUGCAAGUACUCAAAAAACCGCCUCUUACCAUCCUCAUUUUCAGGGAUGUAGAACCCGUAUGCGUAGCUCCAUUGCAGCACCCGCCGGCACUGGAUUAUCUCUUGCCAUGCCUCGGUUACAAAACUGAGAAUCGGAUUGGUUUGGCGAUACUUCUUAUCAAGUUUGUUCAGAUGGACAGCUUGCACAAGCCGAAAAUCUUGGAGAGCUUUUUGCUUGGAAUCAUGGUUGGCUAUCCAACGCUCGUAAUAGUGGACGUAUCUGUCUAAAGACAUCUUUGCCAUCUCUUUCCUUUUCUCACUCGCAUUGCUCUUCACUUCCUCCGGGUAAGAAUUACACAAAUGGCUACGGCUCCACUCUCCAAGGCAUAUCCAGCAGAAAUCGAACCUGCAGGGUGCCCUGCAUCUCAUGUGGUUACAUCCUUGGUUUUUUUCGAUGGGUCGCUUGCACUGUGGACAAGGCUUGGUGUUGACAAGAAUCCAAUUCAUAUUUUCGGACUCAUUCUUGUUCUUCGACAUCCACUUGGCCACAGUUUCACAUUUCACCGGACUGUGAGCUUCUUCGGAACAAUUCCAACAAAAUAUAUACGAACAAAGGCAGGAAACAUCAUAAUUAGUCUUAUUGCCACCAACAAAAUCUACAGCAUUAUCACAACCAGGAGCAGGGCACCAUUUUAUCUUCGUCUUCCGAUAACUCUCUUCAAUGUAAGACCUCACAAGGUACCGCGAAAACUUACCCUUAUCGGAGUCAAUGUCCGCCAACAGAAAGAUCAUAUCUUCCCCGACAGCAGCACCACAACUCGGAUGCGGACAUUUCAGCGACAAGCAUCCAAGACCGUCAUUGUUAAUUGACUUACUGACAUACCCUCCCCAACAUCCUCCACAAUAAAAAUGGCUACAAAAAUUGGAGCUAAUUCCACGAUCACCACCAACAAAUGUUUCAAAGCAAAUUUCACAAGUAAACGAACAAACAUCAGAAGACGAGGUUCGAACAAGUGGGCUUGUUUUUGUUUUCUUAAACAAGCCUAAUCUUUUUUGAACCUCGUCUUCCUCCUCAAACCACUUGUCAAACAACUUACUGGUGUUCCAAUUACAGUGUCGGAGUAAGAUGAUCGCGGCGGCUCUGGACACGCAAAGUGUCGAGCAGACCUCUGUGAUUUCAUGGAGUUGGCGCUGGCUGAUGUCUGCUUGUUUCAAGAUUGUGUAGUGAAGCUGUUGCGACGCCGUUUGAUCGUCUCUGAGGAAGCUGUUGGAGUGGUGAGUAGAAUCCAUGAUGGGGGAGUUGGAGGUAAGGGCAAGAACUGGAAGAUAAGCACCAAUAAUUCCAUGGAACGAGACAGUUUGGAGGAUGGUGCAACGAACUUGCGGGUUGACCGGGCCAUUGACGAGUGACGACUGACUUUUAUAAAAGUGCAAUGUAUAUCCGUAUAUGCGCUUUCUUCUCGGUUUUUCAUUUGCUUAUACGACACCUUCUUUCAACGGACGGAGGAGAGCAACUUGUAUGACAUAAAAAUUACCGUUUUGGAUAAGUAAACAAGCAUAUGUGAAAACAACUAAUCCUUUCAUUAAAAAGAAGUCACGAAAAUCCGUUCUAGCUAUGCUUUACGCCGUACAAGGUAUAAAAUAUCGAUGAUAUCGGAAAUAUCGGUAGUCCAAAAAUACGAAAAUUUCAAUGGAAAUAUCGAGAUAUUAUCGAUAUCGAUAAAAAUUGAAUAAAAACCAUGGAAAUUGUAAGAAAAACUUGAAAAUUUUUAUUGAAACUUUACAGGAUGUUUAUUUAGUUAAUUAUCUAUUAGUUUAUCACAAAAAAAAAAUUGGAAGGAAAUGCAUUGCAUGAUGGAUUUAACUGAUUUAAAUUGAUUAUAUAGCGAGCUGGCAAACAUUGUGAGUGUAGAAAAUAUGUAGUAAUUAAUGAAAGAAGUUUAAACACACCAUAAUCAUUUAUAUAUAAUGAAUUAAUACAAUAUUUUACACUUCAUACAUUGCAUGGUAAGAUACAUGAAUGACUUGGUAUCACAUAGAGUUCCUAUCAAGGUCUAAAAUAUCGAUGAUAUCGGAAAUAUCGGUAGCCCAAAAACACAAAAAUUUCGAUAAAAAUAUCGGAAUAAUGUCGAUAUUUUAGAGCAUGCCACAAUAAAUGGUAAGUCAGCUUCGAAAUGGCUAAUAACAUUUUCUUACCGCACAUACAAAAGCUCUUCCGAAAAACCAUUAUCCAACCUACUUCCAUGUCAUUUUAUCUGCUGCAGAAGCUUCUUGCAAGACACUUGAAAUGGUGAUUAAUAUUCUCCUUGAAAUCAUCUAAAUAAAAAAACCGGCACACUGGGACGACAAAUCGUGGGAACAGAAAAAUAUAGCAACAGAACAUCUGGGGUGACAAUGUUACAUAUGUUUUUUCAUCAACAUCGACAGGACACACUCGAAAAAUCUACAUUUUUUAAUAAAUCAAAUUACAGGACAACGUUUACGGAAAAUGAAACAGAAAGAAUGGACGGAAAAGAUUACGGCAAGCUAAAUACAUCCCUCAAUAGAGGCUAUCAAGAUAUACAAUACAAACUCUCACUUUACAUGGAAGCCAAAAGGUCUCUCAUUUCUGUUACGCUAAGAAUGGUCUCUGUCGGGUAAAUCUUGGCGACGAGUUGCGCAAAACCUUCAUACUUGUCAAGGAACUCCUUCUGUCAAAAUCCAUGACAUCCAUCAGAUAUUUUCAAUGCGAAGGCGAACAAACUCUUCAUGCUUACGAAGAAGAAACUAUUGUUACGUACCUUGCAUUUAUCCCAUAAAGAAGGCAGCAGUUCUUCUGAAGUCAUGUUUUUCUGCAACUUCUUGUACAUUCCAGCGAUGGACUUGUCAAGCUGUACCAGGAAAAUCCACGAUAGUGUUAGAAACGAACAUUCACAGAUGAAAAUUUCGGAUGGGUAAAUCAACUCACCCCGGAUAAACUUGAUUUUAUCACCUUCCGCAGAUCCAUCUUUGACAACCCUAGCUGGAAGGGGAUCUGCAAUGAAGGAAACUGUUAUCAGCCAUUACAUUCAGAAAAUUAAGACUUCGAAGAUAAAUAACUCCACAUAAAUCAUUCGGGCAACUACAUUAUCACAGUUCAUUCUCAGGAUGGGGCAAAGAUACUCUUCAUGGAGUAUAUCAAUGUGCAAAUCACUGGAUAUAGUUUCAAAUUAACCAGGAAUAUGACGUAAUUAACAGAGGUUUCAUUUUUCCCAGUUAGAUCAGAUAUGGAUAAUUGAGAUACCAACACACUAACCUCUUCUGGUGCGAUUGUAUACAUCAAAUCCUCUAUUCUUCGAGCAAACUGGAAAAGCCGUUCAAAUUGCUGCGAAAAGAAAACAUAUGAGGGCAUAUUUAACCAAAAAUGUGUCCAAACUGUAUGUCAGGCUUAAGCAAGAAAUCUAUGCUAAAAUGGCUGAUUCUUCACAGGCUACAUGCCUUGGUGAAAACUUCAGUGUUCCUAUGAACAUAACUGUUUAGCUUUCACCUGGAACAUUAUGUUUCAUACAGGUUCUAUAUUGUCUGUUCAGACGGUUUUUCUACCAGUAGUUUCUACUGUACUGUUAGUUCACCUGGACAUGUUUAUUCACCCCUCCCCUUUUCAAUAUGAAAAGAGAAAUAGCUAAAAGAUAGAUCUGCCUUUAUCCUAUUUUUACCAUUUAUCAUAUAAUAUCCUAAAGCUAGAUCUGCCCUUGAGAAAACUGCAGUGUAUAUGAACAUGAUUCUAAAAGGAACAGGGGAUAGGGUGGGAAGAAAAAAAUCAUAUACAGCAUUGGGAUAACUUACAUUGUAUAUGAUCAUGCUGAUAUGGCGUGUGCAAGCUUGUUCAUAAGCUUCACUUGCCUGGUGAUAAAAUUUGGCCAAGGUGGGCACAACAUUUGCUAGGUCAUACAAACUGCAAGCAAACUUCAAAAGUGAAGUCACACGAAAAAAGAAAGCAUUGAUCAAUGAUCAUAGUAGAAAGGAAACAUAAGGAUACCUAUUCUGAAACGCAGCAUAGUUCUCUAAUAGAAAAAGAUCAGAAUACUUUGGCUCUGUUUGUGCAAUUUUCUCCAAAGUCGCAAACAUGAUGCUAACCUGUCAAACAAUUGAUCUACCGUAAGAAAAAUGGAGAUGCAUUUCUGGUAAAACAUCUGAUAGACAAUCAAAUGUUAUCAUCAUCUAUCUUCACACGGCCAAGAGACUGCAAGGUUUAAGAAAAAGAACGUUGCCUUCUGAAUUCAAACUUGAGUAAUCAAACUGUGAUAACUAAAUAAUAAGCUUUAAAGGCAUAGUACAUAGGACGAAUACUAGCACGGUGUAUGAAUUAUGAUUGAAUCAUAAUUUUAAGAAAGCUUCCUCAUACAGUUUGAACCACCAUAAAAUAAUCUUCAGAAGAAAAAAAACUCACAAAUUUUGUGUACGCUUGAUCAACCAAAUCCCUAGAUUGUCCCUGGAUGUACUGCUCCAUUCGUGUUGCCAGAGUAGCAAAUCUAAGUAGAAGGGAGGUUAAACAAACAUAAGCAACUGCUUUGUUUUACACAGAUGGUAAAUGUGGCCAAGACAUGCCAGUUCACCUUGGGAUGUAUGAUAAGACACCCACUUGUCUAACGUUGCGCUCGUUUCUUUCAAUCUGGUGGCAAGCUUCAUCAACAAACUGCAAGAAGCAUACACAUUACAUGGGUUCAGAAUCUUCAGAACGUAACCUAAAAAAUAUAUGACCACAAUCACUAACACACAAACUUACGCGACUGAACUGCAUAGAAACUCUCGACUCCAGAUCACCAAGCAAGAGACGUACAAAACCUGCUGCAUCAGCUUUUUGACCAGAAAGAUAGCGCUCUGUAAUCCCAUGCAUUGAUAUGCAGCGUAAGGGAUCAAUCUUGUAUGCCCAGUCCACAACGGCAUAGAAGUCUUCCUGAAAACCAUAUUUAUUGGUGAAAAACAAGGAACUUUAAUGACUACCAAAUAGUGCAUGCUGCUAUGCAACAAGCCAUGACCAGAACAGUUGAACUGGUGGUGUGUGCAAAUGAAGCCCAAGCAAAAAAAUUCACGAGCAGCUGCAAAAAAUUAGGCAACAAGUUGUGCACAUUACCUGGAUUCCAUCAAGUAAGUCCUGAAGAGAUUCAUUUAAUGCUGCAAGCUCUCCUGAACUUUUGCCUACAAAAUUAGACAAUCAUAUAAAAUGCGAGAGAGAGAGAGAGAGAGAGAGAGAAGCAGAAACAUCCCAUUGCAGACAGUGUAAAAUAUGAUCAAAAGUACAUAGGGAAUUACAGCAUGGUAGUGUAAAUUACCAGCUUUGCUGUCAUUGUCAUCAAUGUCCAUGAUUCCCAAAUCAUCGUCAUUGGUGUCAUCAUAUUUAUCUCCAUUAGCAGUACCCCCUGGAGGAACAAGUGCUGGAACUUCAAAGCACAUAAAGUGCGCAAAGAAAGAACUCUGCAAUUGAGCCAUUGCAAAAUAGACAUUUAAUACGGAGAUAUGCAUUAUGUAAAUAUGAGUUAUGUAGAUUAAAGAAACCAUUAUAUAACUCCAUUUUAACCUCAUCUACAAGGAGUGGGAUAAAAAUUGUAAGCAUCUUGGAAUAAGCUUCAGAAACAGUAGAAGUGUCUGCAGCAUUCGCAUUUUGACCAGACCCUUCAAGCCAGACGGUUGGAUUUCUUGAUGCCUUUGUACUAGCACGAAGCUCAUUUGCAAAUUCACGAGCCUGUAGGUAUCAAAUUAUAUACUCAAACUUUCAAACUGAUCAAACUACUUAACUGUCUGAGGAUUACAAAAGUUUAUUUCGAGAACAAGAAUUAUUUGAUUAGGUUAUUGAUGCAAUGUUGAAUACACCACCAUUUUAGUUUAAAUUAUUACAAGUUUAUUCUACAUUGAACGACCAAACCAUAUCACAAUCUUAUCAGAAAGUCUGGUGAUCAGAUGGAAAACCAAAAUCUGGUUGCUCAUGAGAAGGUUUUUCAUAUGAGACAAAAUUAAAGAUAACUGAUAAAAGCAGCAACCAAAUAAUACAUUUCUAACACAUAUAUAUGUUAGAAUAGAAUAUAAGGUUGUGAUUCUCACCUCACGACGAAGAAGCAAGUUGAGGGAGCUACAAUAUGCCUUCCUCAAAGUGCCCAUGCAAUUGUUAUCAAGACUCUGAAAAUGCAAAGCGGGGAGAAUAAACUUAGGGAAAAACACACCGGUACAUAUGCACAAGUAGAAACAACAAAAAUCCUAAUAGUUAAUGCAAUUAAGCUAAAAUUUGACCUUCAAAUGUUGCAGAAGGCGAGCAUACGUUCUGCAUUUGUACCGUAGAUCAGCAUGAUCAGGCCUUUUCAGCUGCCCCCGCUAUUUAAAACAAGCACAAUAGUGAGCAUUAAGACUUGUACACCGGAAAUGAACAAUUUUGAUUAUAUUUAUAAAAGCCCAAGUACGAUAAGUCCACCUGAGAAAAGUAGCUCUUGUCGCUUAUCAUAAAAUCCACCAAACUAGCAAAGUAAUUUCGCAAGAACUCAGAAGCUCUUCUGACAAAUGUAGAUUUCAAUUUUUCAAGUUCUGCUCGCUUCUCUUUAACCUUUAAGAAUUUCAAUUACAACUAUAAACACAAUGGGGUUUCCAAUAUCAAAAAUCAAAACAGCUAUCAAUCUAGCACCUCAGUAAUGAGAGGGAACUCUAAAGUUCAUACAUCUGGCCACAAAUUGUUGAAAAAAAAUGAAACAAAUGUGAAGGGCAGAAUGCAUACAGCCCGCAUAUUUGCAUAGAUGGGAUCCAAGUUAGGUACUUCAAGACUGCGUAAAGCACCAGCCAACCACUCACAUGCUUCUAUGUUUUGAAGCAUACGUGCUUCAUCGAAUGAACCUCCUGUCAAGCAUGCUGCAUACUACACAAAUGAAACGCCAUUAGAAAGACAGUACGCCUAAACAAGUUGCCAAAGUUAAAACUAACCAGUUAUCUCUCACAGCUAAACAGAUGGAAAACAUACCUGAGAAGGAACACGCAAACCUAGAAGGAGCUUAUCGAGUUCAUAAAUGAGUGCCCUAUUAUUUACAGAUUGCAUCUCCAACUUGUUAUUGCGGGUUUCUAUCUGGACAUUGCAACAGAAAAAAGUUAACAGGUAUUCACAUAAAAAACAUUUAUACAUCCAGCACUAGUAUCAUAAAACUAUGUUAUGUCAUGGCAUACAGAACAACCAUUUAUUAGUCAGAACCGUGAGGAAAUUGAAACGAACUCAGAACUAGCAUCAAUACACUUUUAAUCAACAAGACUAAACAAAAUACCAUCAGAAAGUUUCUUGGGAAAAAAAAUUAAAUUAAACAACUUUAUAUUGGAUGUAAUAUGGUAAAAGUAUAAGGGGGUAAAGGAAACUAAAAUCACCACAGAAAUUAUCGUUAAUAUUUUUACAUACAAUGCCAUAAGCAAGCAAAUGGAAGCUUUGACUAGAUGUACAUGGCUAAAUUCGUCGACUUAGACAGUAUGUUUGUUCCAUUAUUCAUAAGAAUAAGAUGAAAAAAAAAUUUUAAAAAAAAAGAAAAUUUUCCCCUGAACUGCAUUGGAAAUAAUACUGUAGUCCAUAAAAGAGGAAAAUCUAAAAACUUAAAAGGUAGCUAGAGUCCCUACCGAUUCAAUGUCUUCUCUCAUGUGUCUGAGUUUCACAUUAAAGAUUCCUAACCAUUCGUCCAUGUCAUCGACACAAUUCGUUGCUGCCUCAAGCCCUUGCAAUACCUACAAGGCCCAUAAUGGAAUAUAUAAAUAACACAUAUCUUCAAAGAAAUAGACAACCACCAAUCAAUGUCCUAGAAGCAGGUAAAAGUAGCAUGCACAGCAAUCUCACAUUGACAAUGUUAAAGCAAUGUAUGCAAGUAACUGAAACAGAUGAAUAAAGUUUCUAAGAGUAAAAUAGCAACACAUUUUAUGCAAAAGCAAGUUGAAGAAUGUAAACAGGACAAGGUCAGAAGAUGAAUGCAAAAACAUCCAUGCUAAAAAUCAAUAACUAGCAUCCUUAGACCUGUCGAGCGCCAUUUAUAUCAUACAGUAACAUGGGUGACAAGACAAUAGACUUUGACCGUAGUGAUAUUGAGAGGUAAAAAAUGAAGAUUGAAAAUCUUGACUUUGUUUGGGAAGAGUGAAACCAAGCAACAAACAAAGAACAUAAAGGACAUUAACUUAAAAACAUAAAAAAGAAGAAAUGCAGCAAACUUCAUCGUAUUCAACAAAACUGAAUAGCAAUAGUCACCUCGUCUAUCAAAGGUUCACUUUCCAAAAUGGCAUGCACAUUUGCUGCUUCCAAAGCCAGAAGCUCCCUCUUCAACCUUUCAGAAAAUGCUUCUGCUUCACCAAUACCCAUGACAUAACUGCAUAACACACCCACAAUCAAAAGAAUUCAUAACUAUAUCAAGAUAUUUCCAACGUAAUUCAACUAAGGAGUGACUAAGAGCACCCUAUAAAUACAUGGCAUUUGAUGCCUGCCAUUUGGAAGUUGUCAAACCCAACCAAUAGAUAACAUUCAAAAACAGAAAGCCGUAAUCGACUAGGGUGGGACAAUUUAGGAUUCCCCAGUUGGUCAUUGAACUCUUGGCAGGCAUCAAUGCAGAAGGUAUCAUGAACUAAGCACGUACUAAACCAAGGUUUUGUCUAUCAGUCUAAUUUCUAAUCAGGAAAUGACAUAAGACCUUUGUAUAGGGAGACCACCUCAAACAAAGGAAAAUAUAGUAUAUAGCUAUGUUUUCUGAUAAAAGAAAUUACAGAAGAUCUUCAAAACAAUCAAAUAAUUCUACUUUUGCAAACAGGCAUCACUUCAAUUAAAAUCUUAUGGUACCAAUAUCCCAAAAAGGACAAUGAAACGAAGCACAAACAUUUUCUUUGUAACAUCAGAAAUAAGGAUAUGGUACAUACGUUCCCAAAAGUGCCUCCAUGUCCUCUUCCUCAGCUUGGGAGACAAGUUCUUUUUCAACAGUUACUUUCAAGUCACUUUCAGUUACUGUUGAUGCAGCAGGUCCCAUUUGCUCCUUUACUUGACUAGUGACUGCCGGUGUAUUUUCCUAAAUCAUUGUUUACAAAAAGUUGGGCAAAAAUUAACUGCAAAUAAUAAUUUAACAAACUAACAACUAAUAAAUAGAGUUUCAACAGCAUGAAGCCAAAACUAGGAGAAGUGUAUGUACUAAUAAUUCUACGUAGUGACAUAAAAUAAAACAAAAAGAAAAAAAAAAGAAAUUCACAUUGACAGAAAAUUAUCAUCAUAAAGUUGUAACCAUGAUUAGUGAUUCCAAAGGAAGUGAAAUCUUCAAUUACAAAUAUCAUGCAAUCCAAUCUGUACAUAAAAACCAAUACAGGUGUAUAAAUUCAUCAUAUGCACCUUAGCCCAAAGAGCCAUCUCCACCACAUCUAUACCAACAACUUUAGGAAGAUGACCCAGUGCAUCUUUGCAUAUGUUUAAAAUACAAAGUAAAAGCCGGUUCCUACACAGAAAAGAAAAAGAAAACCAAUUAUCAGAAUCUUAUCAAUUUGUUUACUGGAGGAUAACAUCCAAAUAGGUGUUCUCCAUGGCAUACCUGUCAUCAAUAUUUCGCAUGGUCCAUUGAGGAGGAGCAACACUUUGACUCCUAAGAUUAUCAAAACCCUACAAGAAAUUCAGUCAGACUAAAAUGGAGGAUGGGACUGAAACUUUUCUCAAACAUUGUUUCUUGUUUUUCUUAAUUGACCGAACCCUAUUUCUUUGCACAAAUUCCCAGCAUGUAUAUAGAGCAUAGACACAUGGAAGAUGGAGCACUACCUACCAGAGUAAAAGUACACCCACUAGGGUCGUUUGUUAAAACCUCCACCUUUGAAAGAUGCUUUAGUUUGUAUAACUUUGCAGGCUGCAGUAAAAGAAAAUUUCUGAGUAAUUGAAAAUCAUAAUCCCAGUCCCUAAUUAAGCCCAACUUUACAGCACAAAAUAAGACAUAUCUGUUAAGGACUUCACCUCAAGGACUCCUCCAGUAGAAUAUUUUAAGACUCGGAGAAAGGCUUGAGUCCUCUGGCCUUUGGUUUUUACUGCACAAACAACAAAGGGUGGUCACCAACACAAAUUAAGUACGACUAAGGUGCCCACAGUGAUCUGCAUCUGCCUGAAUAUUUAUACUAGAGUGGGAAUUUGUAGUUAUGCACACAUAUACAGGCCAUGACCUAAGCUAGGAAAGACGAGUCUUUUAAUUUCCCCUCAUGUGAUAUUGAAUGGCUGUCACAUUUUAGAACAAUCAGAUAGUGUAGUAAGAGAAGAAAAGUGUAGUAGUAUCCACUAUCCAUUAUCCAUUAUUCACCAUCUAUUAUCCAUUAUCAUAGUGAUACAUUAGUGGCAAAAUUCGAGUUAUUAAAAGUGUAGUAAGAGAAGAAAAAAAAUGUAGACUAACCCCUAGAACACCUACAAGUCAGCUCACAAUUCUCGAAUCAACCUCACUGAUAAAAAUCAUUACUGCACCAUCUAAUGCUCGGCAUGCCUUGUACAGUCCUGUUUAAUGAUUCUGCGAGAAGUAACUAAAGUUAUCUUCCAACCCUUAAAAUAUGCACUAAGACAAUGCUUUGAAGUCUUCGUCCGACAACCCACCGUGCUGAUUUGCAACAUUAUCGUAGUAAAACCUAGUUCUAGCUACAUCCUUAAAGCAGAUAAAUGACUCGGCAAGUUCAAAAAUUUAUUAUCUUCCCUGUAAGAUUGACCAAUGCAUACAAUCUUGUGAAUAAAACACAUCAGUCAAAAGUUAUAUUUCUUGAAAUUGUCCACUCUAAGCACCCAAAUACAUUAACAUCCAUUCAACCCCAUUCCGAUUAUCUUUCGCAAUCUGGAGACCCUAAACCCUAGUAUAAGCACCUAAAUACAUUACCAUCCAUUCAACCCCAUUCCGAUUAUCUUUCGCAAUCUGGAGACCCUAAACCCUAGUCUAAGCACCUAAAUACAUUACCAUCCAUUCAACCCCAUUCCGAUUAUCUUUCGCAAUCUGGAGACAUUAUAAUCAAUCCAAAAGAGUGAAAAGAAAAGAUUCUAACAAUUAGACAAGUGAAAACGAAGUCUGCAGUGUGAAUCUUUACAAAAGCUUAAUUUCCCUUGCAAUUUUCCACAGCGCAUACGGUUUAAUCGAUUGAAAGUACAGGGACGAAAAUAGAAUUCAACUGCGUACCGGAAAGUGCGAGAACCCUAGGUUUGGCCAUGUCGCGGCCGAGCUUGUGGGUCUUGCCCCAGAUCCCACGGCUCUUGGCCACGCGGAUGGACACAACGACGCUCUGCUUGGUGCUUUCGAUGGCGGCCUCGCAGGCCCGCCGCAGCUCCUGGUCGUCUGCGCUCGAUUUCGCCAUCGCCGGUGGUGGUGCUGCACUGGGUGGAUCUCAAUCGGACUCUGCUGUAAUUUAAUGGUAAAAUAAAAGACUGCCGGAUAAAUACAAAUAAAAUAAGAAGGUGCGAGACGAAAAUGCGAAAGUACAAGUUGGCACUGCACAACCUUUGCUGGGUCUGCUGGGUGUACGGAAGUUUCGAGUUUGGACUAAGAGGACCCGAAAUGCGUCGGGUACGGGUCGAACGUCAAACGGUAAUAAUAAAUGUGUCGGCACGUUAAAGCCCCUACUAUUUAUUUUUUUACCAAAAAGCCCUUAUAUAUAUAUAUAUAUAUUUUUUUUUUUUUAAUUGGUCGAAGCCCUUACUUUUUAGUUACAGCCAAAUUAUCCCCUUACUUCGCAUAAAUGGAAUCUGAUUCAAUUUGAACUUUGGACUGAAUGUGUCACAUCCCAUCAUAUUCUGGGCUCGACUCCGCGAUAGCACGAUAUUGUCCGUUUUAGAUCCCGACCACGUCCUCAUAGUUUUGUUUCUAGGAACUCACACGAGAACUUCUCAUUAGAUCACCCAUCAUGAGAUUACUUUCGUGUGAACUCGUUUAACUUCGGAGUUCCUACGGAACCUGAAGCCAGUGAGGUCCAAAAAAAUCUCGUGCUAAGUAGAGAUGAGAAUAUACAUAUAAGGUAUAGAUAUCCACACCCCUGAUCGAUGUGGGAAGUUACAAAAUGAUUGAAGGUUAAGGAACCACCAAGAAAUCAUAAACACAAAGUGAUAAGCUAAAUUCUCUUUUCUUUGAAAUAAUGAUGCAACGUAAAAAAACAUAUUCAUUCAACUUGUCAUUCAAAAUAUUUCAAACUAUUACAUUUCACUUACAGAUAUAAAAGAAUACCAUUAAAUCAUACUUAAUGAUAAUGAGUUCGUUUAGAAGUACUUUUUAAAAUGAUUAAAUUGUCUUUGGUGAAAAUAUUUUGAAACCAAUUUUUAGUACAAAGCUAAAACUUCUUCCAAAAAAACACUUAAAUCGAAAAUUGAUUUCACCAUAAACGUUUUAAAAGCAUUUUCAAACGAUCCCCUUCCCCACCGAUAUUCCCCAUUUCCUACAUAUGGGGAGUUUUCCUUUUUGUCAAUUGCUGAUAUUAAUGUUUUGAUUCUCAUCAACUUAUUCUCCCUAUCCAAAACUGAAUCCCUAACUGCUGCCGCCGUGAGUAGCCAGAAAAUAUUUGGGCCAACAUGUUUGCGCAAUUACCGAUUUGGAUCAAAUUGUUACUGAAGAAAGUAAAGCGUGUACAACUUCUUGGAAGCCCAAAAUAAUAAACCGAAAGAGAACACUCAUAUGUACAAAAACUGGCAAAAGUGAGCAUUACAGAAACUAAGAAAACCAGUCUAGAUUUUGCUUAAGAGCAGCACCAGUUUACUUCUUCAUACUUGACGUUGAUGUUUCCUUCCUCCAAGGCCAUCAUGCUUUCAGUGUGCCUGGGAUGCCAAUCCUUUUCUUCCCCCAACGGCCCCAAGACACAAGCUUUAGCUCUCUCUCCCGUUUGCACAGAAUGCUGAAACAGUGAGGCACUUCUUAGUCUUGCAGAACACAAACAGAUGCAUUAUACACACUACAAGUUCCACAUCACUUGUUCAUGCAACAAAGAGCAAUGCAGGGACGCAAGGAUUCGAACCUUGAUCUUCUCAGGUACACCAUGUAACUUUUACAAAUUACAAGCUCUGAGUGCUCUACCAUUUUGAGCUACAUCCCUCUAACCUAACCUAACCUAACCUAACCUAACCUAACAACAAAUGCACACACAGCAGAGUAUAGACACAAGAGAUGAUAGACACGAAUCAAACAAUUUGUUAUUCACCGUUUUUUUCUUUUUUGCAUGUUAUCCAUGUUUUAAAAAACACCCAAGAGAUGAGAGACAAAACAAAUCAUGCGGCUAAACCUAUUCAGGCAGUACAAAACUUGAUCGGUGAAAAUCUUCCAAACAACGUAAGAGUAGAGCAAUAAGGACCAGUAACUAACAACUAAUGCAGAUCUCAUUUAUAUAUCAAACGAUCAAAUGAUGCAUGACGGAAAACAAUGUUAAAAACAAACAACAAAAUCCAGUUCAAGAGAAAUGUCGUAGAAUGAAUUCACCGCAAUAAACCCAAACAAUGGGACCGACAAUUAGAACACGAAAUAAAACAGAGUGCUUUUGACGUAAAAUAUAUCAUGAUUUUUGUAGCAAAAUAUCAUGCAUGUCAUUUAGCAAUAACAAUUAAAACAAAAUCAGAGAAUGGCUUUAACUUACAAUUCGAACCAAGCAUUCCUUCAUUCCCCUUACGUGCUUUGACCUUAUUUUAGCUUUAUAUUCCAAUUCAAUAUCUUUAGACGCCAAUUGCAGACACCCAUCAAUUCACUGUAAAUUAUUGAUGCACUUCAUGCGGCUCCUUUCAGAGUUAACCCACAAUUAAAAAUAUUAAUCACUUUGAUUAGUUAAAAUGUUAAUCCAGGAACAUUUUCAUCCCUAUCUUCACGUUGCACAUACAAAAUGACAUGACAUUUACAUUACUUUUUGAAAUACAACCUGCACACCAACAACGUCAUCAAUAGACCAGACAUCACCUAAGUUACAUCUGCACGACAUCUUCAAUGAAAAACAGGGAAACAAUGAACUCUAUAGAAAAGAACCGAACUCCACGACAUCUUCAAAGAGCAGUUCCAUCAACAUGAAUAUGACACACUGCACUCAUUCAUGAAAAGUAAAAUCCAUACUGCAUAAUCAUAUCCCAAAAAAUACUGCCAGAUAGUUCACAUUUAAACACCAACUCUAUGAGUUUCUAGCAAGGGCCCUCUGCAGGAAUGCAUCUCCACAUAGCUGCCAGACGUAUGAACUUUGACAAGAUAACAAAUAAAACGAUAACUUGAUAAGCCAGAAAGCAUGAACCUCUUAAUCUGUGCCUUAAACUCCCAAAAGAAUUCUGGCCGGCCUAAGUAGAAGACAAUGAGUCAGUCCAACCCCAAACUCCACGAUAAUUAAGAUUAUUCAGCACAAGACCACUGCAAGAGAACAUAGUUGUUGAAACAAAACCAAAAUUCACGACAGUUGAUGUAACAAAACCAGAAUUCAUCACUUCGGUCCAUGUAUAGUGCCAUCUUGAAAAUCAAAGCCAUGAUGCAACAAACUCCAUUUUAUAAGCAGUCCAUACUCCUCUAGGAUCCAAUGAAAUAAGGCUCCGCCCCAUCACUGCAUACAUUUAGAAUCACAUCUUACAGCGGUUUAAAGAAAAAACUAAUCACAAGAAAAGAAGCAUCAUACUCCCUCCUGAAAUCAAACCACAGGAGGGUAACUGUGUUUAAAGACAACUGCAUCUGAAAUGAAAAUGCCGGAUCUUAUCCAAGGAAAAUUCUUUAAAUUUAAAUAGCCAAACAAACUUCAGCAUCUCUCAAAUAGUUGUGAAUCCCAUCAGUCGUACAUCAGGCUGUGCAGUAUUUGAACAUAAACCAAGCCAAGAUGCAUAAAACCAGAGCCAGAAGACAAUGAAGCAAAGAAGCGUAAACUGAAGAAAAUCUUUCUAUGAAAACGGUGAAGGAUAACAGAUGGAUAGCAAACCAAAUGUGAGGACGGUUCCAUAAAGUAGACAUACGAUAGACUCCAAGCUAAAAAAAUCUGCACGGCAAACAAUCCCCAAGCAAUACGAAAUCAAAUCAUAAGCCAAGAACCCAAACCCCUUCAAAAAGCAGUAUGCUCCCCUUCAACAAAGUUGAACCCAGACAGAAGUUGGGAUGUCUCUGCAUAAAAAAAGUACUCUCAAACAUAGAGCAAAUUUAUAAACUAAAAAAAUAAAAUAAAAUCAUAAAGAUCUCAUAAGAACAACUUAGAAUAGAAAAAAAGGCCAAAGAGUAUCUGACUCCAUCCUAAAAGCAGGCAGCCCCGUUUUUCAUUCAACUGAGUGAGACAAAAGAGUUUGGCAUCUGCAAUAGAACAGUGACCGUAUAAUGGUUCAGCAUCUCAAAAACCAAAAACAAAUUCAUAAGACAGGAACUAUGGAAAUCCCCCCUUUCAGAAGCAGCCCACUCUCCUUCACUAAACUUGCACACCACGUACAAACUAAUGUCGGGACGUGUCUGCAUAGAAAAAACAUUGCUCAAACAACUGAAGCCAAGCAAAGAAAAGAAGACAGUAAGACAAAAGACCCCCUCUUAAAAGUCAACUGCUCCCCUUUAAUGAGUUUGACUCGAUCCAAAAUAGAAAGGCAUCUGCACAAAUAACUCCUCAAACAAUUUCGCAAUGCUCUAAGAAAUACAAGAUCAAGAAAUAGACCAAGAAGUAUUAACCCCUCUUUAAAAACCGGCAGACCGUUGUCAUCCGACACUCUUGAGACUUCAUAAACAGGUUAUUUUGAAAUCGAUCUGCAAAAAACAUUGUUCCAAUAACUGUUUCAGAUCUCAACCAGGAGUACGAUAUUAUAUCAAAAAGCAAAAACCGCUCAAACCCCCUCAGACUGCCCUCCUUCCUCUGCUUGCCAUAUACGGAUGGAGGAUAGAAUGUGUCUGCAUACAGAAACAAUGCUCAACUCAUGGCGCAAGAUUGGAUACAACAUCUAAGAAUGGACAUUUAAAAGAUAAAGGAAAUCCCCCUUAAAAGCACCCCUUUCCCCUUGAACAAAGUGAGAUUCCAUAUCCAACCUAGAUUUAAAAUGCAUCUGCAAAGAAUAUUGCCCAAAUAAUUUCAAAAGCUCUCUGAGAAUAGGAGAUGAAAACUUAAACCAAUAACCACGGAACCCCAUUCAGAAGCAGAUAGCACAUCUUUCUUUGACCGAGUCAGACGUCAUAACCACGAAAUUUUGGGAUGCAUCUGAUAUGAAACAUUGAUCAUUGAUCAAAUAAUACUAAAGAUAACAUAAACCCAAGAAAUAAGAAUUUAAAUCAUAAUCCAAUAACUAAUCAAACCCCCUCUUGGAAGCAGCUUGUUCUACUUCAACAAAGUUGGACCUCAUUUACAGACGAGUUGGAAAGUGUCUGCAUACAAAGACAUUGCUCAAAUAAUAGCGCAAAACCAUACUCUAGGAUAAGAAAACAAAAACAUACGGCAACAGAACCCCGUCAAUAUUCACUGUUCUCCUUUAACAAGGAAGGACUCCAAAAACAAGGCGCUUCAACGUAUCUGCAAACAAGCAACUGGGUAGGCACAAAUUGCUCAAAUAUAGAACCAAACAAAGCCCAAGAAUAGAAAACUAAAUCAGAAGCAAAAAGAAAGAACUUGAACCCCCAACUAAAACCAGCGCAUUCUCCUUCAAAACGUGAGAUUCCAUGAACAAAAAACAUACCAUCUGCAGAAAAAUCAUUGCUCAAAAAUGGUGCUAGAUGGUAAAAGCUUUUAAAAAAGAAGAUAAUAACGCAUGAGCCAAGAAUCACCAAACCCUCUUAUACAAUCAUGCAGCCCUUUUUCCUUUGAGUGAAACUCCAUAACAAGAAAAUUUUGGGAUGCAUCUGAUAAAAACAGUGAUCUUUGAUCAAAUAAUGAUUCCAGAUGGCAUAAAUCUCAAGAAAUAAGAAAUUAAACCCAAGAAAUAAGAAUUUAAAUCAUAAUCCAAUAACUAAUCAAACCCCCUCUUGGAAGCAGCUUGUUCUACUUUAACAAAGUUGGACCUCAUUUACAGACGAGUUGGAAAGUGUCUGCAUACAAAGACAUUGCUCAAAUAAUAGCACCAAACCAUACUCUAGUAUAAGAAAACAAAAACAUACAACAACAGAACCCCUGUCAAUAUUCACUGUUCUCCUUUAACGAGGGAGGACUCCAAAAACAAGGCGCUUCAACAUAUCUGCAAACAAACAAUUGGGUAGCCACAAAUUGCUCAAAUGUAGAACCAAACAAAAGCCCAAGAAAAAAAAACUAAAUCAGAAGCAAGAAGAAAGAACUUGAACCCCCAACUAAAAUCAGCGCAUUCUCCUUCAAAACGUGAGAUUCCAUGAACAAAAAACAUACCAUCUGCAGAAAAAUCAUUGCUCAAACAUGGUGCUAGAUGGUAAAAGCUUUUGAAAAAGAAGAUAAUAACCCAUGAGCCAAGAAACACCAAACCCUCUUAUACAAUCAUGCAGCCCUUUUUCCUUUGACUGAGUGAAACUCCAUAACAAGAAAAUUUUGGGAUGCAUCUUAUAAAAACAGUGAUCUUUGAUCAAAUAAUGAUUCCAGAUGGCAUAAAUCUCAAGAAAUAAGAAAUUAAACCCAAGAAAUAAGAAUUUAAAUCAUAAUCCAAUAACUAAUCAAACCCCCUCUUGGAAGCAGCUUGUUCUACUUUAACAAAGUUGGACCUCAUUUACAGACGAGUUGGAAAGUGUCUGCAUACAAAGACAUUGCUCAAAUAAUAGCACCAAACCAUACUCUAGGAUAAGAAAACAAAAACAUACAACAACAGAACCCCUGUCAAUAUUCACUGUUCUCCUUUAACGAGGGAGGACUCCAAAAACAAGGCGCUUCAACAUAUCUGCAAACAAACAAUUGGGUAGCCACAAAUUGCUCAAAUGUAGAACCAAACAAAAGCCCAAGAAAAAAAAACUAAAUCAGAAGCAAGAAGAAAGAACUUGAACCCCCAACUAAAAUCAGCGCAUUCUCCUUCAAAACGUGAGAUUCCAUGAACAAAAAACAUACCAUCUGCAGAAAAAUCAUUGCUCAAACAUGGUGCUAGAUGGUAAAAGCUUUUGAAAAAGAAGAUAAUAACCCAUGAGCCAAGAAACACCAAACCCUCUUAUACAAUCAUGCAGCCCUUUUUCCUUUGACUGAGUGAAACUCCAUAACAAGAAAAUUUUGGGAUGCAUCUGAUAAAAACAGUGAUCUUUGAUCAAAUAAUGAUUCCAGAUGGCAUAAAUCUCAAGAAUAAAAAAUUAAACAAGUCAAGAACCACCCAAACCCACUGUACAAAGCUGUUUCCUUCAACAAGGUAAGAAUGUGUCUGCAUACAGAAGCAUUUUAUUCUUAGACAACGUAGAAAAAUCUAUACUAAAAAACAAAUUAACAGGAUUAUAAGACAAGAGAACCCCCUCUUAGAUAUCAGCAUGCACUUCUCUAAAAUGCGACUCCUCAACAGACACUUAAGACAUCAGCAUACACAGAAGUGGGAAGCUGUCCGCAUGAAUAAACUUACUCAAAUAUAUCACCAAAGUAAAGAAACAGAAAAAUAAGUCAGAAGACAACAAGCAUAAAAACCCCCCUCAAAACAGCUUAUUCUCAGAAAACAAAGAGAGACUGCUUGAACAUACAUGAGCUAUUCUGCCAAGAACACUGCUCAAACCCAAAAAUAAUAAAUCAAGAUAUAUACGUAUGUGUGUGUGUAUAUAUAUAUAUAUUAAGACAUAAAUUGGAGCAAUCCAUUUUCCUUAAACUACCAGUCAAUUUAAAUUUGAUCCGUAAAACAUUGUUCAUAAGCCAAUAAAUAAAUAAAUGUGAAAAAAGAAGCAUCAAACCCAUCUUAAGUAACAAUCUUGCUCCUAAAAGACGCAAUAAUCACCUGAAUACAUACAGAAACCAACAAAGUCGUUACAGACUGGAACGAGCACAAAGAUACGUCUACAACAACAAAGCCUUUUCCCACUAAGUGGGGUCAGCUGUACAAAUAUACUUCUAUAAACCAAAUUUGAUUGAAGAACUAAAAACAGACCUUGAGGACAAAAAUCAGAAUCUGAAAGAACCAUACACGUUCCAAAUUUACUGAAUUUACUGUCAGUCACUAGAAGGGUUAAACAAGAGGAAAAACAUAACAUGAUUUUAAACAAAAAGGGUUAAACAAGAGGAAAAACAUAACAUGAUUUUAAACAAAAAUUCACGAGUUUAAGAUUUAUUUUUUUUUUUAAGAUUUAAAUAGCAUAUGAUCCGACCUCAAAACCAUCAAAAUAUUAGUCGAGUAAGAUACCUACCUAACCCUCCUGCCUAAACCAUCGAUGCUGAUUCAAUCUGGUAAACAGGGCCUGAAAAUUAACAACGUCGUUCCACUUAUUCAAAAGGAUGGGAUCAAAAUUUCUAAGUUAUUAUGAACUUUUGGAAGAAAGAAAAAAUGGAAGAGGUAACCCCCAACGUAUAAGGUAAAAUUAAUGAUCUUCCACUCCGAAUCAAAACCCUAGGGACACGUUAUCUGGUAAACAGGGCCUGAAAUUUAACAACAACGUUCCACUUAUUCGAAAGGAUGGGGAUCGAAUUUCUAAAUUAUUAUGUUAUAUAAACUUUAGAAAGAAAGAAAACGGAAGAGGUAACCGAUGUGGUGCAAACGCAUAGGUAAAAUUGAUGAUCUUUCCCUCCGAAUCGAAACAAAAGCUAAACCAGUUACUGGAUCCAGACCACCCUGGGACAGGAAAUCAAAAAACCGCAAAAGCAGAUCAAGAAGAUAAAACGAGACCUCAAUCCAACUAAUUGGAAAUCAUACCAACAUCACAAAUUCUUGUCCGGGAGACCGCGAUCGGUAUAAAAAUCCCAACAAUUCACAACCUUUAAACGUAUUAACUUGGUAGAAAAAAGGCCAUCGCCAACAUUCCAGCCAAACGCUAAAAACACACCAAUAACACUACAACGCAGAAUUAAUCAAUCCCAAAAAGUAAGUCGAAAGGCGGAGAACUUAAAUAUUUAAAGGGAAUUCAACCUUCAAUCAUCGUCAGAUGACUGGGAUCGAAAAAUUUUAACCUGGAAAGAGAAAUCGUCAUCGCCAGGAAUCCAGCCAACCCUAAAAUCACAACCAUAACGAAACGCAAUCCAUAAAAAUCAACAAACCCAAACGGAGGAAUCGAGCCGAAAUCGAAAUCUAAAAACGCAGAUUCAACACCAGCACAGAGCGAUGAAACCUGAUCGCUGACGCCACACCGAUCAAGGGCGCCAUCCGAACAAGCGAGUUGGGAGGAUGCCUAAGGGGGUAUUUAUAGGUAUAGUGAGUGAAUACGAACGGCUGAGAUUAAACCGUGAUGGAAACAAUGGACGGUGGAUAUUAAGGUAGAAGGGGUAAGUGAUUCGCUGUCAAC